CCCCUCCCCCUAACCCCUUUCCUAUUUGUAUGAAAUUUGCAGUUGUGGCUAACUUACUCAAAUCUCUUUCUUUGUUCAUGGUGGUCUAUAUUUAGGGGUGUUCGUUUUGGGUGCGUUUUAAUCUUGCUGGUGUUGUACUGACUUAAACUUAACUGCGGUUGUUUGAUGUUGAUGUUUACUCCUUCCUCGAUAAGGAGGUGAUGGUGGUACACUCUGUUUCAAACAACAGUAGUUCAAGUUUUUACUGGUUCGUGCGUUGUUGUGUUUUGUUGAAGUUUGAGUUCGGUUUUCUGGGUCUGGGUGGGAUGAGUUUUCGUUUUUGAUUGGUGUUUUUUACGGGGGUUUUUGGUGUUGGUUCCAAAUGGUGGUGUUAGUUUGAGGGUGAUGUGGGUGGUUUUAGUGUUGAUAGCUCAAGGUGGUUGUUGAUGUUAAAUUGUGGGUUGGAAUGUUAACAGUGUCCUGUUUUGUAUGGUAGUGAUUUUUUAUUUGUGGUGAUGAUGGUGAGGAGCUUGUGGGUUGUUUUUGUUUUUGGGAGUUUUGUGUUUUUCUUCCACUGUCUGCUUGUGGUGACCUUCGAUCUAUGUCCAUCAAUGUUAUCGCUGGCUCUUGCCGAUUUAGGGAUGUUUUUUAUAUUGGCUCAUGGUUUGUUUUUUGGGCUGUUUUUGAUUUUGGGUUGUUUUAGAGUUGGGCUCUUUUCCAAUUUGGUUUUGUUUACAGUACCGCUCCACCUGUUGAUUGCUUUAGGAAUUUGUCAUCUGGAUUCUGGUGGAUCGAUCGUUUUUGCUUCAAGAUCGGGAGUUAGUGUCUUUGUUCAAUCUUUUGGGUUGUUAUUAUCUCUUCUCUUGUAUGACUGGAGUUUAGGGGUGCCUCUGUGAUUUGUUUCUAGAGUUUGGUUGGACGAUCUCAUUUGGUUCGAGAUUGAGAGUCAAUUUCUAGACUAAUGUUUAUUGGGCUUGUUAUAGUGUUUUCUUCGAUGGGCAAGGGGUCGAUUGGUAGUGGAAUAUGAAUGAGUGUUGGUAUAAGUGGUGUUCAGAUGUUUAUUUGGGCUUAGGUGUGUGAGGUACUACUAUUAUAGGGGGUUUUAGUCGGUGUUGAUGGUUUUUUAGAGGGUGGUGUGAGUAGCGGGCAAUAGGUGUUCGGAAUUUGUAUAUGUAGUCAUCCACAAUGGAGAUGUUGGCAUUGGUUUUUGUGGUAAUGAUUUAUUGGUUUAUGUGGCAGUCAUCGGUUGAAUGGUGUCUUAAUUGAUGUUUUGAUGUAUGAGUUGUAUGGGCUUUUGUUUGGGUGUUCCUUCUAUAUAUGAUGCUCUUUGCUUUGUUGUUUUUCUCUUGCUAGUCUGGACUCAUCUUGCGCAGAGACUUGAUUAUUAAUAAAUUUUGUUGUUAAAAAAAAUUAUAUUCAAUCUACCUCUAGAUUAAAAAAGAUAAAAAAAAAAUAGGAAAAUGCUAAAAAAAAUAUAUUGUGGCACUUGUUAAGGAAGCUAAAUAAAAUACUUCCUCCGGUCGUUUUUAUAAGAAACAAAAAUGUCAAUAUUUUUGAUCAUUUUUAUAUAAAAUAUAUAAAAAAAUGACUAAUUUUCAAAUAUAUUAGAAUAUAAAUUUCAUUCAUGCCCUCAUUUAUUAUGUGAGAGAUUAUUAUUUUUUUAACAAAGAGGGCUAAAACCCAAAAGAAAAGGAAAAAAACUACAAAACCACACUAACACGCAUAGGCAUGCAAGCUUAAGAUAAGUCGUUAAAGAGGAGAUUCUGAAGCUCUCUAGAUGAAACCUCAAGAAUUAUUACAUUAUACGAACUAUGGUUGAGACUAAAACUAGCUAGCUAAUCAACGUAUAUGUUUCCUUCACUUCAGGCGUGCUUAAAAAUAACAUGUCACUGUAACUUUGAGAGGUCUUGGAUAUGACAAACCAAAAUAAGGGUUUUGCCAUUAAGCUUACAACUCCCUGUUACCAUAUCAAUCAAAACCUUAGAGUCACUUUCGACUAUAAGAUUUGUAUAUUUUGUCUUCUCGCCGUUUGCAUCCUGUAUACAUUCCCCACAUUUCAGUUUGAAGGACGUCACAAGCUCCAAUCCUUUGUGUAUGCCCUCGUAGCCAUUGGAUACCUGAGUCCCGUUAAAGACCUCCACAUCCUGCAAUGUUCAUUGAACCCUUGUAAGCUCGGUCGUAGUUGAACUUGAUCCAUUCCUAUAUGAAUGCUUCCAACCACCGUAAAUGAUUAAAUUAGUAGAAUUAAGAGUAACUAAUAUAUGGAUAUAUGAGUAUCCAUAAAAUAUAUUUAAAUUUAUAGAAGUAUUAAACGAAAAUAACUAUUUUUAAUGUGUUUUCUUGAUCUUAAUUAUUAUGUCAUUUGUUUCUUGUAAAAACGAUAUGACGAAGUAAUAAAAUAAGGGAAAUGUUAACCAGUGCCUCCGGGGCACUGAUUAAGGGGUCAAAUAUAAUAGCAUUUGCAUUGAGAGGUGUGUAAUUAGUGCAUUAAAAGUUGAAAAAAGUGUUUUUUUUUAUUUUAAAAUUUCCUCUUUUGACUUCCUUAACAAGUGCUCUGGAGGCACUGGAUAAUAUGACCCAUAAAAUAACAAUAUGUCUCGUUAACAACAACAAAAAGAUGGGCUGCCUCUUCUUAAAAAAAUUAUUUGCCCCAAAAACAUCUUCAUAAAUACAUGACGAUAGUGUUUUGAGUUUUGACUAUCAAAAACGUGUAUUUUUAAACUAAAAAUAAAUUGUUUGGACAACAAUAUAACCCAAGGGCAUCUUUUUUUUUUUUUUGUUACAUAACCUAAGGGCUGCUGAAAACGACUCUUUAUUUGUUGAUUCUAUAGUCAACUGUUGGGAGUUCGUAAAGCUAAUUUUAAUAGUUUUUUCCUCCAUAAUGUGGGAUCUCUAUAAUAGAGUUCAGAUAGAAUUUUAAGUUUUUUAAUUUCAUAAUGAGAAUUAUUAUCGUAUAAAAUGAUGUUCAUCGUUAUUUAUAUGAAUUUCUUCUGUUGAUCAGGUUUAGUUCGAAUAUACUUGUAAAAAAAUGGUUUAGUUUGAAAUUUUUGAAUAUAGAAUGCGUGAUUUCAUACAUAUGAUGUAACCUACUUCGUUAGUUUAAUUGAUUAUUGUCCGGUGUAUUCAGGGGCGGUUCAUUUCAUUUAUAUAUGAACAAAUGCAACAGACACCCCAAAAGUAAAAUAAAAGUAUAUUUAUUAUUUAGAGUACAUAAACUAAUCAGCCGUACUUUUAUAUAGUAUUUUGUUGUAUAAAUAUUUUUUAUUACACUAUAUUAUAAAAUAUUAACUUUAAUUUAAUUCAUUUUAUUUAUUUUUUAAUUUAAAAUUUAAAAUGACUAGAUUAUUAAGAGCAAAUUUAUAGUAAAAAAUGUUCAACCAGAUAGUUAAUUUUCAAAUCUCUUAAUCAAAAUUUAGGUUUUGAUAUAAGUUGAAAUUUUAAGAAUAACUAAGUUAUAAAGGUAAUUUGGUUCAGAAAAAAGUUCGAUAGAAAAAUAGCUUUUUUUUUUUUUAAGGAUUCGAUAGAAAAAUAGUUAAUGUAGUUAUUUUUAUACAAUUGUAUAAAUAAUAUAAUAUCAUUAUCCAUAUAAUAAUAGUUAACUCAAUGCUUCUAAUUCCUUAAACAAAAAACUCAAUGCUCAUCAAUCGUAGGUCCCCUGAUUUAACAUUUCAGAAUUUAUAUUGGUGAUCGUGUGUCCUUAAUACGCAUAUGAUGAGAGAAUAAUAUUUUACGUUAUGUCAAAAAAUUAUAUCUGAAAUAUAAAAAUAAUUAACAAUAAAAAAUACAUUAGGAUUGAACCAUACAUAUAAAAAAUUAAUACAUUUUAAUAUAUUCAUCAAAUUGUUUUUAAUGAUAGUUUAUACAUAUAAACGUAACAGUUUUUUAAGGAGUUUUUACUUUGUUUAGCAACAAUUUUGACUAUAGAGUGUGUUUUUUUUUUUUUUUUUUUUUUUUUAAUAAUGUUCAAUGGAGAACUUGGAUUUAAAACACUUCCCGUGUUGAUUCAAAUCUAGGGUGUGUUUGUCUUCGUGAGUUUACCUCAGUUGGUAGGGACAAUACAUAAUAAUAUAUGCAAGGUCCGGGGUUCAAACCCCGGUCACUACAAAAAAUAAUCUAGGGUAUAUUUAAAUACAAGAUUUUAUAGGGAAAAGUUUUUUUUUUUUUUUUUUUAAAAUUACAGGCGCUAUAAAGUAUUUUUAAAAAUGGAUUAAUGUGGUUCGAGUAUUGUGAUCAUUUCUCAUAUUAUCAUUUCAAUUUUUAAAAAUAUAAACCUAGCUUUUUAAAAUUCUACCCUCCAAGGACUUCAUUCCAAACCAACCCUUAGGGGUGUUUGGUAGUCAGGAUAAGGAGGUAGGAUAGGAUAACCAUAUCAUAUUCUAUUCAAAUCUUCCGUUUAACGUACCAAAUAGAUAUGAUAAAUUAAACCUUUGAUUCAUCUUAUCCGUCAAACCUUUAUAUUUUCUAUCCUAAGUAUAGACUGUGUUAGAAAUAUCAUAUCCCCUUUUCUUAUUUUUUGCCCAUACUUUACCUGAAACAAAUCGGAAUCUAUCUUUUCUCCUAUCUUCCACGUUCGCCUACCUCCCUCCCUCCAUCUCCAUCUUCAUCUUCAUCUUCAUCGCUCAUCAUCUUCUUCCUUUUCGUUUAAAAAUUGUGAUUUUUUUUCCAUGAAUAUUUGAUUUAUUAGGUUGAAUUUUUUCCCUUAUUUCAUAUCGAAAGAGAGACGGUUAAAAAAACAUUCAUCAACAUUUCCAUCGUAGGUUGAUUGAAAUUGUUGCGCCUAAUAACUGCUUCUUUCUCUUCUUCACGUUUAAUUGGAAAUUACUUUCUAAUUUAUCCACCAAUAUAAUGAAAUAAAUCAAUCAUACCAACCCAAAAUAAAAUAUUCUCCACCGAUUGAAUAUUGGAGUAGUUAUUAUCCAUCCUUAAUUUUUCUUUCUCAAUUUUCUUGGUGAUAAUUUUGCAGAUACUUGUUUUCAAUAAAAUGAAAAUUUAUAAUUCCAUUGAUUUCUUUUAACAUAAUUACUUUGGGGAAGAACAACUAUUGAGAAAGGUGAUAUUUCUUAGGUUAUUUUAUUAAGAUCUGUUUUUCGAAGAAGAUGAUAACAAGAAUAAUUUUGUCAUAUUAUUAUGAUUUAUAUCCUAUCAGGUCAUUAUCAAGUUGUGCAUCAAACAUAUGAUAUAAUAAAUUUUUAUUUUAUCUUGACCAUCAAACAGACCCUUAGUGUCAAAUGUCUCGCUAUCGGUAAGUUGUAAAAUAAAAUCAUUGUGUUAUAUUUUUAAUGUACCACUGAAUUAGUUAAUGAUAUAAGUCAUCAGCAUGUAAUAUGUUAUUUAUAUUAUAAACUUUAAUCGUUAAAAGUUCCUUUAUAUAUUGAAUCAUGUCUACCUUAUUUGUGAAAAAAAAAAGUCUUCAUUAUGCAUGCAUGCUACCAUGAUAACUACAUGUAAUUGAUUGAGUAAUACAAAUAAAGAGCCACUUGGAAGUGAAAGUAACAAUUUUUGAGUUAAAUUAGCCCACUUGUUCUUUGGGAGAGAGUGCCAAACUUCUUUCAGUUAUUUCUAUUGGUUUUGGUAAAGUUGAUUUCUUUGUUUUUUAAUCUUUCACAUUAUUCUAUUCUAUAGUGCAAUGAUAAAAUGACAGAUUUUUAGUAGGGUCAUACAUAAGAUUCUGAUUCUAAGUAUUGGUCUAAUUAGGUUCUUGUUGUUUAAUCUUUUACAUUAAUUAGUUACAUUUAUUUUUGUUUAAUUAAUUAGUUGCCACCGUGUUGGCGACUUUGGUUAUUUUUUAGAUUUAUUAGAAUUGAUUUCGAUUAUAGUACAUUCAUAAUUUAGAUUCUUAUUUCAUUUGAUGUGUCAUUUUCGUGGUUAUGUUUGUGUGACUUUCUUAUUUCAAAAGUUUUUAUUUGAAUCAAAUAGUCUCCUAUUUUACUUUAUUUAAUUGCAACAUUAGCUUUUGAGGUAAAUGGUGUCACACACCCACACUUUUAGAACCCUAACACACUAGAAUUCGUAUAGAUUUACCAAAGAUAUGGAUCAACAUUAGUGAAUACCCCGAAUUCAUGAUAACCAUGAUGGGGCUCUUUAUACUAUUAUGGAAAAUACUCCAUGCAUUUUUCUUGUGACUAACAAGAUUGAAUAAUGGGAAGAAUAAAUGUUUAUUUUUCGACAAAUAUAGUGUAAAGAAAAAAACUAUGUAUCUCCAACAUCAUUAAAAUUCAAGAUUGAAUAAUCUAGAUUUGUACUUUAAUUUAUCAAAUAAAAAUCUGCAUUUUUAUAGAUUGUUUGAUCAAAGACCGGAAUGUCUACUAAUAUUAUUGAAAAUAUAAUAUUAUAGGUGGGUCCUAGUACCCAGUCAUCUAAGUUUCAGCUCAAAAUCAAUUUAGAGUUUGGUUGUAGAGCUUAUAUAUCUAUUUUCUCUACUUUUGAAUUGGUAAUGUUGUAAGAGUAUUUCCAUGAGAAAUGAAUGCUUAUACCCGUGCAAAUAUCCAUGCAAUUCCAAAGGUUGUGUGUGUAUGUGUUGUAAUCGCAUGUUCUUGAAUUAUCUAGUUUUAGUUUUGCACUCCUUGAACGAGGGUUCCCAUAAUAUAUUUUUAUCCUUGUUGUCGAUGGUAAGGGUGCGACUACCUGUCAAGGAGUGUCGGUGAGGGAUGAUGAUGUACUCUUAACAUCGUCGGAUGUAGAAUGGAGAACAAUGUUAUUGGGAUAAAGUUGUUGUUGUUUGGCCAUUUGAAGUGUUUUGAAUUUUAAGGAGGUUUUGAUCUUUAGUGGAAAUUAAGUUUAAUGGGAAACUAGUUCCCACAUACGGAGGAACUAAUUCGAGGUCAUAAGAAGUGAUGGUUGACGUCGAACAACGAUCUAUCAAGGUUGAAGAUUGAGGGUGGGGAUACUUGCAAGCACUCUGAAGUCCAAGUCCUUGGAAGCAAAGAGUGAGAUGUAUUUAAAGGAUAGUAAUUGUGUAUCUUGUGUUGGUUGUAGAUGAUGUCUUUUAUAGACGUUAGCAAUGAUACUUUGCGAAGAUAUCAGAGUCCAUUACGGUCGACGCUUCAUCAAUAUGGAAUUUUUGCCAUCGUUAUUAGUCGUUGAAGUGUUACAAAAUGAGGAAAUCUGAAACUACCCAUUGAUGUGUUUAUGGGAUAGAAAGGAUUUAACCCUAUUGAGUUGGACACUAACGUGUUUGGGCUUGUGCGAUCAGUUUUGUAUACUGAGGAUUCUUGGUUUGAAAUCUCUAAUAUCAUUAAAAUUCAAGAUUUUAUUAUAAAAUAAAUUUGUUUAACUUUUUUUGUUGACGUUAAUUCAAAAUUACACUAGGUGGUGAAUCAAAAUAAGUCAAUAACUCAUGUUAGAUUACGAUGUAUAAUAUUUAAUAGGCCAAAUACUAUGUUUGGUCCUUUUAGUUUGACAUAAUUCUCAAGUUAGUCCUUUAAAUUUUGAAAGUUUCAAUUAAGUCAUUUUAAUUUGACAGAAUUCUCAGAUUAGUCUUUUAAGUUUCAAAAGUUUCAAAUAAAUCAUUUUAGUUGAUAAACUAUUUCACCAUAACCCAUACAUUAAUAAUUAACUGAUGAUGGUGUAGCCGUUAACUUGUUGACUUGAUCAAAACAUCAUCUUUUAAAAGUUUCGGGUCUCAAAACGCCACGUUGAUAAUGAUUUUGAUUCUUUGACAUAGAAAAAACUCCACACAUACAUGGAAAUGAAGUGGCUUUAGUGAGACCAUGUGUCAAAAUUAACAAGGGCUUUAGUGCCACAUACAUGAAAAUAUGGUACCAGUGAAGACAAUUUUGGGAAGAAAAAGAGAUGUUAUUGUUGGAGAGAAGUUGUUGAGUGAAACCCUUGGAGUGCAACACAAGACACAGACAAAAAGAGCAUAAUUUUGAUAGAAAAAGAGAGGCACUUGAAUAUCCAUGACGUCACUACAUUCUUAGUACUGUUUCAGUGUCUUUGGUUUCUCUGUACCUGAAAUCCUUUUGUUGUGUUUCUUGUUCCCUACAGUUUAAGGCCCAUACGCACGAAACAAAACUUGCUACACGCGCCUUUAAUGGGCCAUUUUUCCCUUUUAGUGGUACCAUUAAUUAGUGUUUAAGGCUGAUCUAGGUCCAUUCUAGUGAAUUCCAAAAUGAUGGGUGUCUCAUGACAUAUUGUGAAACUUUUGAUGCAAUUCGGAGUGAAAUAUUUCAAUUUAAUGUUGCACUAUUAUGUGCAUGUUUAACUUAGGGGAGUUUGACAAGAUCACAGUACAUUUAUAAAAGUGUCGAGGUAUGAAGCAUGGAUGUAGACACGGAUACCAAACAUAAUACAUAUAUUGAUACAUUGAAAUCGAUAAUAAUUUAAAAAAAGAUAUAAUUCAGUGUAAACAUAGGUGUUGGUAGUGUCCGACACCUCAACACACCUAAUAUGAAGAGUGUUAGAAUAUUGGUGUUAAGUUUGAAUAUUAAACAUCAAGUAAUUAUACUUUGAUCUAAUGUUGUGUGAAUUGAAAAAAUAAAGUGUGGGAGUCCCGCAUAAAAUAGAACACACACAUAUUAGUAGUGUUUAAAUUGAGAUAUUUAAUUGGGUUAAAGUGUGCGGGCCACACACAUAUUUAAUUGAAAAAAAUAAAGUGUGGGGGUCCCACAUAAAAUAUAUAUUUCAAAAUUUUAAAAAAAAUUUGGAAAAUAUUUUUCGUAAUAAAAAAAAUCCCAAAUUUUUUUUAUUUUAACAAAUUUUAAAAAAAUGAAAAACAAAAUUAAUUAUACAGUCAACACACCACAUAAUCAGAUAUGCACAGUCAGCAUACCACGUCAGCAAUUCUGCACAGUCACAUGGGUCAGGGGCUAAAAUCAAAGAAUCUUAUUUUACAGGGUUGUAAUCUAAACUUUUUUUUUUUUUCAACGGAGUAAACCGAAACUCGCCCAAAUUACAGAGGGUAAAGACGCAUUAACCCCAUUUAAUUUUAAAAACUUGAUAAUGAUAAAAAUAAUAAUUAUUAUUAUUUUUAUCCAUGAAUAUCAUUUUCCAUAAAUUUAGUUUAUGAUGAUUAUGAUAAGAAUAAGAAUUUAAUUGAAUUUCUUAUAUUUUUUUUUCUAAUGGGUCAAACCUGUGUAUGAUUUGAUUAAAAUUAAUGUGAUAUCUGAUUGUGGUUAGGAACCAAGUUGAAUUGUGUUUUUUAUUUAUCUACUAUUGGAUGAGUUCUCCAUAGUAUCACAUUGAGCUCUCCUGCUACAGAGAUACUGUACCAAUUUAUUGGAAGCCGCAAUCACAUCUCUGGCAAAAGGUUAACAUAGAUGGGUUUUUGUUUGGGGAGCAAGCCUCUUGUGGAAGAAUUUUCCUAGAUGGUAGAGAUACUUUUUCGGGUAGCUUUUGUGUUAAUUUUUUUUUUGAAACAGCAAAUAUUAUAUGUUAAAAAAAUUUCUUAGAUCUAUAAGACCAGUCUACUUAUGAAUUGAAAAAUAUUAUUUAUCGCUAAUAUUAUUAUAUUAUAUUUUAUACUUUGAAUUAAAUUAAAAAUUUGUUUAAGAAUUGUGGCUGGAUGUGAUUUCUUCUUCUCUUCUGCUUGGGGAUGAUGAAGUGAUUUCACGGCCAGAACAAUUCUUCUAUUAGCAACAACAUAAAUCAGCAACAAUCAUCAAUCAUCAUUUAAAUUCAUAAAAAUCAAUUAAAUCCGUUAAUUAACAACAAACAAUAAUUGAUUCUUCAACAACAACAACAACAUGAAUCACCACAAACAAACCCAUAAUCCACCAUAAAUAAUUCACGCCUCUUUCUAUUUGUAUUGAUCCCAACUUACAGUGUGUACAUAGUCAAACAAAAUAAACUAUGACAAACAAUUAACAUUCAAAAAAAAGAAUUAUGAAAAGAUUUCUCCAAAGAAAAAAAUUCACCUUUUAUAAAUUACACAACUUUACAUACCUUGUGAAUUGAAAGACGGAAUCGAGGAAGAGGUUUUCGCAUUUUACAGUUUUCGUAUCAAAGUUUGACCUUCGUGAGUUUAUCGUUUAAGUUUGGAUUGGUGGGUGUUAUGGUAACUGAUUCAAUUCCUAAUGCAAAGAGUGAGAGUUCUAUGUUAAAAUUGAAAGUUUUUAAGCUUUUGCGAAUGUUGAAGAUGAAGAUGAAAGAGGCUUAAAGUUUGAUUGUAAGAAAAACCCAUAAACUAAAAUGUUGCAUGUUGCAGAAGAUGUGGUAAAGAGCUUAUUGUAUUAGUUCAUAUGAGUUAAUGGGUUAAAGGUUGUGGUGUUAGAUAUUAUUUUCUGGGCUGUGGUGGUGGUAUGAAGUUCAUAGGAUGAAGAAGAAAUAAAAGAUGGAAGAUGAAAGGGGCAUAAUAUUAGGUGUUAGUGAUACACCGUUAGAUCUGAUGGACCUCCUUUAUCCAACAGUCUUCUUUUUGAGAGGUUUAAAAUUAAUAAAAUAUGAUUAAAUUGAUGAUAAAAACAAAGAUAAAUGACCAAAUUGAAACGUUUAAUAGUUAGGGGACCAAACAAUGUAUUAAGGUACUGUUUGACCCGGUUUUUUUUUUCAACUUUUCUACAUUUUUAAGGAGAAGCUAGGCCAAACACAAUAUCAAUAAAGUACCUUCGAAAAAAAAUACUUUUUUUAGAAUGCAUAAAAUUGAAAAGAAUGAGCUUUAACCAAAAGUUGUUGAAUGCUACUUCAAAAAACUACUUCUCUGUAAUUUAUUUCACAAGCACUUCUCUUCAACUCACGCAAGCAACCUUAUCUUUUAUUUUUAAAUAUUAUAUUUCAAUUUGUUUUUUUAUUCCAUUUAAUUUUUUUUUGAACCGGUCCAUAUAACUUUUUUUAAAGGAGGAUCAAUUUAAUUUUAUUAUCUUUUUAUCACUUGUAUAUUUAAUUUUAAUAUCGUUUAAUUAUCACAACCUCACAAAUAUUUUUAUUCAUGCUGUCAUUGAAUGACACCAAAUAUUUUUAUUCCAUUUCUUCAACCUCACAAAUAUACACACACACACAUUAGCGUUUAAAGUAAUAUUUUAUGUCUGUAUGUCUGUUGUUUUUGUUACGCUAAUGCGUAUAAUUUUUUCAGUGUUGCAUAAUGCGUACAAUUAUUAUUUUUAUAAAAUUUUGAUUUUAAUUAAAAGUACUAGUAUAGAUGCCUAAAAAAAUUAUACUUAUAUAUAUUUUACACAUUUAUAUUGUAACAAACUAUGCAUAUCUUUUUCUUAUUAAAAAAACUAAAAAUAUAUUUUUCAAUGACACCAACAAUGUAACAAAUAUAAUAUCAUAUAAUAUAAAUUUUAUCUUUUUAAAUGACAUCAUAAAUAUGAUAUUCUUAUAACAAAAUUUGUUAUACAGUAUAAUUGGAAAAGAAAAAUCAAACUAUUCUCUAGCUUAGCUCAGUUGAUAUAGACAAUGUAUAAAUAUAUGCAAGGUCGCGGGUUUGAACCCUGACACCACAAAAAAAAAAAAUCAUAGUUUUGUACAAUAUUUUGCCAAACAACUUUUAACUUAAAAUAACUUUAGAACUAAAAAAAAUAAAGAAACCAAACGGCUUUAACUUUUUCCUUAAAUAACUUUAUUUUAACUUUGUUUUAAAGUAGCUUUUAGACAAAAAAAAUAAUCUAGCGAAACGGUACCUAAAUCAAAAAUAAACUUAUAAUUGAUCAUUGACCAGACUCAUGCCUUAAAUUUUUUAAGUUAGGGCUUUACAAAACUUAACUCCACCUAACAUAUUCACAAUCCUUAUCCGAAAAUGAAAAUAUAUAGAAAACAACAAAAUAUGUUUGUAUACCCUUAAAAAAAGUAUAUAUAAGCAGAAUAUUAGAGUUGAAUAACAAGUAAUCCUUGAAUGUUAUAUUCUUUAAUUAGAUUUCUUCUUAUUUUUUAAAUCUAUGACUAAAUGAAAUUUAAAAAUCACUAUGAAAUGAUAUCGUUUACUUAAAGAAAUUUCCUGCCAUUUGUUAGCAAUUUGGUUUUGAAUUCAUCUACAACAAGUAGACUUUUUAAUUUCGAACACGGUUUAUUCUUCAAAAAAAAAAAAAAUGGAACACGGUUUAUUUAUGGAUAACAGCUCGAAAGGUCUAUUUUCAUAUACACUCAUAUGAAAAUGAGUAUAAAUCCUCAAAUUAAAAUACACUUCAAUUCAAUCACAAGGAUAGGAUCAUGGGAAAGACUUCCUCUAAGAGUAUCGCUACUCCAUCCGUUUUAAAAUGAGUAUCGCUUUAGCCAAUUGCAUACAGAUUAAAGAAUUGAAUAAAGUAGUUAAAUGUCAUAGCAAUUUUACCAAAUUAUCCUAAUCAACUAUUGGUUUGUUUUUCAUUAAAAAAAAAUAAUACUUUAGAAGUAAUGUAACAUAAUAUUAAUUGAAAACUACAAUUGAAUUCUUUCUAAUACCGAUCUCGACAAGUUAGUUAGUUUCCGAUACCAACAAUGUGUGCAUCAUUUUUUCUUAACUUUAUUAUAGAGCAAUACAAAGAUUUUGCCUCUCAUACGUUCAAUGUGAAAUGAUGUGCUCCAAGGGAAUAUGCUUCUAUCAUUUUUCUUAUGGAAAACAUGACAAAUAAUUUAAUAUAAGAUCUUAUGUCAAACAUCAUAAUCAGCUACAAGUGGCUAACAUAGAAUGAGCAAUCCAAAUACUAAUUUAUUAAGCACACCUUACUUAAAAAACAACAUCUAAACCAACGAAUAGAGUCCAGGUAAUAUUAUUAAAAUAAAAAAGGAAACCAAACUAUGAAGAAAUCUGAGUCACUGAUUUGUUUAAGAUAUAAUAUAAAAUAAUAAAAAGUAAACGCAGCCAAUCCAAUCCAAACCAACCAUAUUAAUAUUCCAAUGUUGAUCUACAUGCUCAAAACCCAUCAAACAAAACCAGCAAAGCAUCAAAAUAGUUAAAAAAUCAUUUUUGUGUGCUAUCAAAUAAGGUGUUCCAGAUAUUAAAACAUCCUCAAUCCAAUGUGACAUAUUUUUGUAAGGUUAACGUGUGCUUUAGAGGAUCCACAAUGGAGACUUCUAUUUUUAGAUAUCUAAAUAGGUCCAACGCGUACACAUCAUCAAUUUAUAGUUUUAUAAUAGUAGUAGCUAAUAAGCACUUAAUCCCUCCAACCUAGAUCUCACACAAAGUUCUUAAAUGAGACCCAUUAAUCAACUAUCAAUAACUUUAUAUCACUACAUUUUAAUUUUUUAAUAUUAAAAGAGUGCAGGUCCCGCAUAAAAUUGGGGGUCUUAGGUAAGACUCAUGAUCUUAUAAAACCCUGAAAACGAUUCUCCCUAAUGGGAGAUGGUCUUAGGGCACCAGUUAAAGUUUCUACAAAGAACAAGUAUUUAUUGAGAAAUAUUAAAUUUCAAUAUUGUGAAAAAUAAAUUGACACAAUUUACGAUUCAUAAUUUAUAUCUUUGGAACUUUAAAUUGUGCUCUUAAAACACAUGUUAGCAUUUCACUUUAUAAAAUAUGAUCGCAAAGACCGUGACAACAUCCAAACUUUUAUACCUAAGACACACGGUGUUGUGAUUUGAGGUCGAAACACAUGAUAAUUUUAAAUUAGGGUUCGUAUGAUAUGUUACAAAACUUCUUUUUUUUUUUUUAAUAAGAUAUGUUAUAAAACUUAAUAUUGAAAGUAAAAUGCGGAUAGAUACGACCGUAGUUACUAUUGCGAUGUCAUUAAAAAGACCUCUAAAUUUUUUAUAUUGCAACAACAAUUUCUAUUAAUUAAGAACGUUGAUUUAAAAAACUAGAGAAUUUAUCUACCAAAAAAAAAACUAUAGAAGAUUUAAUUAAGAUAAAUGUUGGUUAGUACGUAUCUAUCAUGGUGACAGUGUGAGUUUGCGUUGAAAAUUCCCUGGCUUAGCGUGAAGAUAUGGACUCUAAUCCAAAACAUCAUCAUCCCUUAAACCCCACCACCAACUUGUUUAUAAACCCAUUAAAUUACUCAUUCUCCUCUCACAUUCAACUCAUACCAACUAUUCAAACCUAAAAACCUUUCAUCUUUUCUCUAUUCUCUCUCUCACAAAAAAAAAAAAUGGAGGGUCUUAUACCUUUAGUUUACAAGACAAUAAUGCAAUACAAAGGUGGUAAAGAAGGUGCUAUAGGAUCAUGGAUUUGUGAAUCACCUUCAUAUUCAUACAUGAGACUUCCGGCUGGUGAUUCGGGUCGGUUUCAAAUUCAAACCACUUCAUCUUCCAACCAUGUUUCUUCUUCUACUUCAAGUGCACAAAUCAUUGUUUCUUCUGGUGUUCAAUCUCCACAUAAUUGUCUCACACAUCGUCGAAUCGCAGCAUGAAGAAAAACUCGAAAUGGAUCAUUGUUAUAGUCAAGUUUUUAUGUUUUAUGCUUUCAAAUAAUGGGAAGCUUUUGGUUUUAUAUUUGGUCUUUGAAGUUGUGAGCGUGUGAAAAAUGGAAAAGUUCAUCAUGCGCUUGGUUAGUUUGUAAAUUAAUAAUUGUAAUUAUGUGUUAAGAAAUUGUUGAAUAUAUUGUUCUUUAUGGCCAAAAGGGUCACUUGAAGUAUGAGUUUCUAGGCAAAUUGAUAAACAAAAUGUAUGUAAGUACACUUCUUUGGCCUAAUGGGUCCUAAAGACUAUGGGUUUGUUGAAGAAUAAUUCGUAUAGUCUACAAUUGUGAAUUUUUAUCUGUGUUACGAUAUUUUUUUUUAUUAUUAUUAAUCGAUGUUGGGUCAAAAGUUAAGUAAAAUUUGAAAUAUGAUUAUUUUAAUUAAAAUUUGAACUCAGGUUACUUCAAAUUAUUCGUCAAUGGGUAGGUGAAUUUUGGUUUUAGUCUAUCAUACUUAUUGCUCCAAAAACAAUGAAACAAUUUUUUGCUUCUACCUUCAUGUAUUAUCCACUAAUAUUCUGAUCAUGGGGCCAUUUUAAGGGGUAAUUUUAUUUAUUUUUUUUGCAGAAAGUGAUAGUUAAUAAGUGUCAAAUUAGUAUGUGAAAACUUUUCCUAGUUAAAUUAUAUUCAUCUAUCCUAAAAUGAUAAUCUUACAGUUUAAAAUAAAUGAUUGUAGUUGUUGAAUGAUUUUCUUUUACUUGAACUGAAGUUAAAAUCCACUCAUUUUGUAAGGAGCUAAAAUGGUUAUUUCAAACUUUGAAUGGAUUAAAAUUAAAAACAUAUCUCUUUAAAUUGCUUAUUAUACACGACUACGUACAUACCAUAUUAAAUAUUGUAGAUACUCAAAAUUUAAUGCUGAGAAUUCUUGUCGGAGGUUGUAAUGAAUAAACUUUUUGAUUUUAUGUUUUUUGGGUCAAGUAUGUUUGUGGUUAGGUUCACGCAUUUUGUCAUCCUAAACUUAACUCAGUUGGUAAAAACAAUGCAUAAUAUAUCAACAAUAUAAGGUUUGGAAUUCAAACCAUGUGCACCACAAAAACAAAAACAAAAAUAUUCACGCAUUUUAAAUAUUGAGAUGUGAGAAAUUCGAUGUUCAAAUUUUAACCCCUAUAAACGGUGUUUUUUUUUUUUUUGACAAAACCCCUAUAAACAGUGUUGAUAGUUACCAACUGAACUAUAUUACAUCAUUUUAAAAAGAAAGUGACCUAUAUUACACGACUAUAAAUUGAUUUUUGUAAUUUACGGAAAUAUAUAUAGAUUAUAUAGCAAGUUAAUAUUUCUCAUGCAAGUUAAUAUUAUUUUUAUACAAUAUAGCCUUCGUUCUAUUCAUUAAAAUAGUGGUAACUAGUCGUAUUACGUAUGGUGGGCGGUGGCUGGCUUCCCAAAGGGAGAUGUACACUUCACCUAACAAUGCAUAAGAAUUUAUAUUUUUGUGUUUUCAUAAUAUGUUAUUUGCUUUUUUAGUCUUUCACGUGGUGGAAAUAUGUACGGUGUCGUGGUCAAUUAUAUUCGUUUUUUUUGCUAGUCUUUGUUGUCGCCAUUCAUGAUAACCCCUUCCAAUUCAUUUGUGUUUCUAUUUUAUCCUUUUUGUCUCAUUGUGUGACCGAUUUCUCAAUUGUUGUUUAUAAUCCCAAUUUUCCAUAUCACCAUAUUUUCAUUGUGUCGUUUCAAUCAUGGUGUCGUUUCAAUCAAUGGUAGAUAGGGUUAUUGGUUCUAAUGUAUCGGCAGGCCAGGUUCAUGGGUAUUAUAGGAUGGAAUUGUUUGGGUUUAGGCAGCCUGAACGUGAUUCCUGAUUUAAAAUAUCUAGUACGACGUUUCAAUUCAAACCUUCUAUUCUUAAGUGAGAUGCUAGUACACCGAAAUAAAAUUGAAACUUUUUCGUUAUGUUCUUGGCUUUGAUUCUUGCAUUUCUGUAGACCACACUAGUAGAAGUGGGGGUCUUGCUCUUUUUUUGGCGUUCUUCUUUAAAUUGCAAUUUGGUGAAUUAUUCUAAUAACCACAUUACCGUUGAAAUUGUUGACUCUACUCUUGGUUCUUGGAGGCUUAUCGGCUACUAUGGGUACCCCAAUGGGGAACAUAGGCAAGUUGUGUAGGAUUUCCUCUGUAACUUGUCUGAACAAUAUGCAGGUCCUUGGUGUAUUUUCGGAGACUUCAAUGAUAUAAUGGAUAAUAAUGAAAAAAGAGGACGUGCUACAAGACCGCAAUGGUUAAUAAACGACUUUCGUCAAAGCUGUUCUUGACUCUGGUCUAUCAGAUGUUACAAUGGAAGGUUAUCCGCUCACCUGAUUUAAAAGCGGACACCUCGUGCGGUUGAGGAAAGGUUAGAUCGAGCCCUUGCUAUUAAUGCUUGGUUUAAUUUAUUUCCGAAUGCACUGUUAGAAAAUCUUGCAGCUCCGGUUUCUGACCAUUACCCUGUUCUCUUGCACCGUGUCUCGCCCUCCUGCUCCUCCUCGCAAAUUCAGAUACGAAAAUGCGUGACAGCUGGAGACGAGUUUUAAGGAAAUAGUAAUUGAUUCUUGGAAUGUGCAUCUAACUGAUUCUAUUGUUUCUAAGUUGUCUGCUUGUGCAGAUGAUAUUUUGGUGUGGACCAACACCCAUUGCCGCAAGUUGAAAUCUGAGAUUGAGGAUUGUCAUCGUCAGUUGCAGCUUCUUCGUGGUAAUAAUGCAGGUUCGAUGCAAUCUGAAUUGCUAGAAAUGCGCAAGAAAAUUCAAAGGCUACUCACUCAAGAUGAUGCUUAUUGGAAACAUAGAGCACAAACACAUUGGUACAAAUACGGUGAUAGAAACACAAAAUUCUUUCAUGCUUAUGCAACUGCUAGAAAAAAAGGUAGAUCAAAUUCUAUCUCUUGAUGAUAAUCAUGGUAAUAAAAUCACUGAUUUUCAAGGUAUGUAAGAAGUCGCUAGAAAUUAUUUUGUUGAGCUUUUUUAGAAGCCAUGUAAUGUCACCCACCCCAUCAUUGAUGUUGUUCCUCUAUGUAUAUCCGCACAUGACAAUGAUCUUCUCACGACGUCUUUCACAAAGUGUGAAUUUCGUGAUGCAAUGUUCUCCAUGCACCCUGAUAAAUGCCCCGGCCCUGAUGGUUAUAAUCCUGACUUUUACCAACAUUUCCGAAUUUAUGUAGUGAUGAUAUUUUUAAAGAAUGUUGUGCUUGGCUUGAUAUAGACCAUUUUCCUCCAAAUUUAAAUAUGACAAAUAUUGCUCUCAUUCUUAAAGGCAACAUGCAAACUUGUAUGAAGGAUUAACGUCCGAUUGUGCAUGAAGGAUUAACGUCCGAUUGUGCUCUGCAAUGUUCUUUAUAAGUUAACUAGCGAAAAGACGGGCCCUCACGUGUCCGUCUUUCUGCUAUUUCGAUUGCGCAAACGUUUGAAAAUUAUGAAUGAUGUUUUUUUUUAUGAGAUUUUAAUUUUGAUUAAAAGUAAAAAUAUAAAUGUUUUUUACUUUCAAAUUAUAACAAAUCGAACUAACUAUGUUUAUCUAUUUCAAUGAAAUAAACAAUAUAACCAAAAAAUAUAUAAUCUAAAUUUUUUUAUUUUUUUUAACGACACUAACAACAAUCUUUAUUAUAAAAAAAAGUUGUUGUUUAAGGGUAUAAUUGGGAUAAGGGUUAAUAGGUCUUUACCCUCCUGUAAUAUAGGUUACUUUUGGUUUUUCCCCUGUAAAUUUUUUUUGUUAGAUUUUGUCCUUGUAAUUUUUUGUUUUGUUUUGGGAUACCCCCCUAGGCCAGCUGACUGUGCAUUUUCGCUGAUUCACCUUUUUCUGCUGACGUGGCAUGCUAACUGUAUAAAAAAAAUUAUUUUUUAUUGUGUACACGUGUCAUUUGUGAUUUUUUUUUAAAUUAAUAAAAAUGAAAAAAUACCAAAAAAAUUUAAAAUUCUGGAAAAAUUAAUAAAAAUGAUUAAAAAGUUUUAAAAUUCGGGAGAAAUUAAUAAAAAAUGAUUAAAAAAAUGAGGUAAAAUGAAAAAAAUUCUAGAAAAAUUAAUUAAAAGAAUCGAAAAAAAAUUUAAAUUUUUUUGGAAAAGAUUAAUAUAUCUAAAAUUUUUUGAAAAAAUUAUAAAAAAAAAAAAUCUAAAUUAAGUUCCUGAAACAUUCUGGAAAAGAUUAAGUUCCCGAAAAAAAUUGAAAUUUUUAUUUUUUGUAUAAAAAACAAACUUUUCCACUUCGUAUAAAAUAUUUGAACUUUUUAUAAAAAAUUUCAAAAUAUUUGAAGUUCCUGAAUUUUUCCUUUUUUUUAUAAAAAAUAACACUUCUUAUAAAAAUUUCAGGAACUUAAACUAUUUUGAAAAUUUUUAAAAUAAUAAGAAAAUAUAUUUUGAAAUUUUUUUAAAAAAAUUCAAAUUUUUCUUUCGAAAAUGAAAAGUUUGUGUUUUUUAUACAAAAAAUAAAAAUUUCAAUUUUUCAAGAACUUAAUUAAGAUUUUUUUUAUAAUUUUUUCGAAAAUUUUGAUACAUAUUAAUCUUUUCCAGUAUUUUUUUCUUUAUUUUUAAUUUUUAUUCAUUUUUUCUAGAAUUUUUUUCUUUUUUUAAAGAUUUUUAAAAAAAAAAAUCACAAAUGCCACAUGUACACAAUAAAAAAAUUAUACAGUCAGCGCGCCACAUUAUCAGAAAAAGGCGACUCAACGUGCCACAUCAGCGAAAAUGCAUAGUCAGCUGGCCUAGGGGGGUAUUCCAAAACAAAAAAAAAUUACAAGGACGGAAUCUGACAAUUUUUUUUUACAGGGGGGUAAAGACCUAUUAACCCUUGGGAUAAUGAAAAUGUAAGUAUAAAUACACUCAUAUAGUUUGUUACACUUUUUAAAUGAUAAAGGAAAAAACUGGACAUUUUUGUUUUUUACACUUGUAUUUUAAUAUUUAAAUUUAUUCUUAUCUAUUUAUUACAUGUGUUAUUCGUAUUGAAAGUUGAGAGUAUUUUUGAAAAGAAAAAGUUAGCCCAAAACUGCUGAAAAAAAUAAUUUUCUUUAUAUAUAGUAUAGAUAUCCAAAGUUCUUGCUAAGAGAUUGAAGUUUGUUCUUCCCCAUUACAUUUUUGACAACCAAUUAGCCUUUGUGCCUCGUUGUUCCAUUCUUGAUAAUGUUAUGGCUGCAAUAGAGGUAAUUCACUUUAUGCAAACCAAAACUCGAGGUAAUGAUCGUUAUGUUGCUUUAAAGCUUGAUAUCAGUAAAGUCUAUGAUAGAAUGGAUUAGGAUUACCUCCGAGAGGUUAUGAACAAAAUGAGUUUCGAUAAUAAGUGGAUUCACAUGAUGAGUAUGUGUGUAGAAUCGGUAGAUUAUUCUAUUCCCAAACGAUUAAAGCCAAACUCUUAGACCUAUAACUCUCUCCCCAAAAAUCUAGCUUGCCAACUCAAAACAACUUAACUUAAACCAAUCCAAAAUGACUUAUUUUCAAAAGUGCUUAAAAAUGGCUUUUAGUUUAAAAACCCGAUUCCUCCCAAACGAUUCCUCACCAAAACUUAUUAACCAAAAACAGAAGUUCACUAUACUCUAAUUCAUCAUAUUCAAUUCAUUCAACUCAUUAAAAAUCAACAAGAACCAUAAUCCAACUCAAUUCAUCAUUUUCACCAAAAUCAUAAAAACUCAACAACACAACAACAACUUAAUUACAACCACACAAUUAGUGAUACUCAAGACAUGAAGUAGCAUCAACAAUUUUGAUUACUUUAUGAUGAAUAACUUUUCGAGUAUUAUGGCAAAAAAAUUUGUUAUGAUUAUUACAAUAUUAAAAAUAUAUGUACAUAUCAUAUUUCUUGAAUCAAAGCACAUUACACUAUAAUGAAUCAAAACACAAUACAUUAUCUUGAAACACAUUACAGUAGUGAGAUUGCACAUUACACAAUACACAUUACAUUAACAUUACAACCAACAAUGUUUGAUCACCUAAUUGCACACUUACAGAAAACUAAACAAACAUCACAUUAGAAGGUUUGUUCACUUUACAUGAAUAAUAAUCAAGCUUAUUGUUGUAAUAUCACAAAUUAAUGCCAACAUCAUGCAAGUUACAACAACAAUCUUUAACAUAAACUUUGUUGAUUUUUCUUCAUUUUUGGACUUCAACAAUUUCAUUUUCAUGGUCAUAUUUUCCAUAUCUUUUUUGCCACAAUCAACACACUUAAUUUUGACACCAUGUGUCUCUGACACAUUUUGUCUUUGUGCUCUAAUUUCUGUUUGAGUUUCACUUGGUGUAAGCCACUUCAUGACAUUAUGUACUUUACCAUCCAAUCUUGACAACCCCAUAAUUUAUUCCCUGUAUUUGGCCCUUUUUUACUUACGGUACAAAUUACACAUUGCUUUGGGAACCAACAAUUUGGAAUCUCACCAUUGUCGCGCUAAACACUUGAACUGAAUGAUCCUGAGUUGUACCCACACAAAUUCGAACCAGUGAUGUGCUUGGAAGCCAUUGAAGGUGUUCAUGUUUUGGAAUGAUAAAAAUGGAGUUAAAGUUUGAAAAUUGGGGGAAAAAGGUGUGUAAGAAUGAAAGAGAUAACACUAACCACACCAGAUCUAAAAAAAAAUGGUGUAUUUUACCCAUUAACAUGCCGCAUCAUACACUUAACUGUCACAUCAUCGUUUUUGUAACAUUUGAUUAACAACAUAAAUAAAUUGAAAAUGUAUACAAACUUAAAUAACUUAUGUGUGAACAAUACAACUUAAAUGAUUUAUUUAAUACAAUUCUCAACCUUAAAACACAUAUGGUGUAAUUUAGCAUAUAAUUUAAGUUAAAUACUUCUUUUGGUCCUCUAAGUUUGACAAAAACGUCGAGUUAGUCUUUUAAAUUUUAAAUAAAUAUUUUUAUGUUUUUUAAAUUUCAAAUAGGUCUUUUUAAAUUUUUAAUUUAAUGCUCCUAUUUUUUUAAAAAAAAAGUUUGUAAGUUUCAAAUAAAUCCUUAAAAGACUUAUUUGAAUUUAAAAAAAUUUAAAUAUUAAUUCAGUAUUUUUGUCAAGUUUAAAAUAUCAAAAGAGGUAUUUAACCUUUACUUUAUAAAUAAGUUAUUUAACAAAAUGAGAAAAAAUAAAAUAAAAAUGUUUUUCACGGGUUUAAUAAUAUCUAGUCUAGUCUAGUAGUAGUAUAAAUACAGAGAUCCAUCUUCCCCAUUACCCAAAACCCUAACACUAAACCCUCACCCCUCUUACUCCACUCACCUCCAAAAUGUCUAUGUACACCGCUCUCCGUCGCGCAACCGCCGCCGCAGUUCCUCUCCUCUCUCGCCGUGCAGCGGCAACUUCCUCUAGAACUUUCCACAGCGCAAUCGCCGUUAACCUCCUUCGCCAGAACGAAACCACUCAUUUUGUACCCUCUCGUAGCUUCGCCUACGGCGUUUUAGCUAAAACCCCCGCAGAUGAUACUCUCCUUCGAGUCCUUAACAGUGAAAUCGACUGUGCUCUUGAGGAUAAUGAUAGCCUUUCAGCAAACGUAAUUUUUUUCUUACCCUUUUGUUUUAAGUUUUUUUUUUAUUUUUUAAUAUUAGUGUUUUGUGAUUGUAAUUUUCUUUGAAGAUUGUUUAUUUUUCUUCAGAUUUGGGUUUUUUAUAUGAAAGUUUCAAAUUUUUUUGUUGGGUUAGUGAGUUUAUUUGAUUAAAGUUAUGUAUGCUUGUGAAUUUUUUUUUUUUUUUUUUUCCCUUUUGUGAGGUUUUUUUGUUGGGUUAGUGAGUUUAUUUGUUUCAAUGUUAUUUAACAGAAUCUUUUGAAUGAUAAUGGUUGUUAAUUGUUAUAGGGUUGUUAGUGUUGUGGUGAUUGUUACCGGCUCUGUAGUUGCGUGUCCGGUAUCUGACGUGUCAUUAACACCGACACAUGUAAUCACAUUGAAUCAUGUCAUUUUCUCAGAUUAUUGUCAAUGUGUCGUUGUUGGUACUUCAUAGGUUACCCUUGAAGUCAAAUGUAGAUCACAUUGACACAUGUAAUCACAUUGAAUCAUGUAAUCACAUUGAAUCAUGUCAUUUUCUCAAAAUAUUAUCGGUUUCAAUGUGUUGGUGUCUAGUACUUCAUAGGUUACUCGUGUUGUCAAAUGUGGAUCAAGGUUUAUAGUAGUUUGUUCAAAUUUCAGACCUACAAUGCUACAGCGCCACUAUUUGACAACACUUUGUACUAAAUACGUUUCACAUAGCAAUAGUGAUUCGUUCAAAUUCUGCUACACUGUAUAGUGUUAUAUCACUGCUAUGGCCGAUAUUUGACAACAUUGCUUGUUUAUGAGUUCCACCGAAAAAUGGUAUUGGAUGAAUGAUGUCCCUUUUGAAUGUAGCUCGAAGUUUGCAUUUAGUUAAUGUAAAUAAAGUGGAACAGUUGAAGAGCUCUACUGUGUUGUGUAUGUGGGUAAUUGUUAUUCUUAUUUUGUCCUGAACUAGUAACAGCGCAAGAUUUGUCUUUUGUAGUUUGGUUUUGUUGUUUUCUUUUGCUGAGUUUGGUUUAUAAGCUUAGCAUAAUAAGUGUCAUUAAUAUUUCUACCGGUAUCAUAGUUUUGCACAUGUGAGUCCUCAUAACUGCCUUCGUUGUUCAUUUUUUCUUUUAAGUUCUUGAUCUUUUAGUGGUUAAAAAUACAUGCCACUCCAUUUUUUAUUAUAUUUCACUCCAUGUGUUUAAAUGACCAAUUUUAUAAGUUUGGAUUCAUUUUUCUCUGUCUUGGAUUCUUCGUUUCUAUUUCUCAAUAAUUUGCGUGUAGGAUUUAAUAAAAUUUACAUACCAGUUGCCAAAACAUGCUAUAACUUGACUGGAUUUGUAAACCUUUUAUCCAUUAGAUGGAAAUUGCGCUUUCAAAUAUUUUUUAUUGCUCUGACAUCAUUGAGGGUUUGUUUCAAGAUCAGUUUGGUGUUAUGUUUGGUAUCAUGGUGCUGGUCGCUUUGCGCCUUUGCCGAAAGCACGGAGCCACUAUUAUUUUCCUUGUAGAUUUGAAUAUCUCUUGUAUUGAUAAACCUUAUUUUUAGUCUGAAAGUUGAAACAUUGAAUAAAAUUGAGAAAACAUCAUAUUAUUAUCUGCAGAUUAUAUCCUUGGUAUAAGAAAAUGCAUGAGAAUUAUUAUUAACUUUGAGUGUCAUCUAUUAUAACUUUGAGUGUCAUAUACUGAUGAUUGGCACUUGGAAUUCUGUAUUCUAGCCGCAAAAUAUAAGUUAUGAUAAGAUUCCCUUGUAGAUCUGUCCCACAAUCAGCCUUUUUUAGGGGUCAGGAUUAACACAAAGAUUACCAUAUGAAUAUUAUGUGAACACAUUUGCUUUUGAUAUUAACUGCCAUUUGAAGUUCACUAUCACUUUUGCGUAACUUUUCCAGCUUGAAUUUCCUGGUGAUUUUCCUUUUGAGGUCGAGGACAACCCUGGAGAAAGAACUAUUCAACUGAAAAGACAAUUUGAAGAUGAAACUAUCACAGUUCAAGUUGACAUCCCUAACGUGGCACCUCAACAGAGUGAGGAUGAGGCUGACCCCGAGAAGAUUGAGAAUGAGAAUGAUAGCGAAUCUAGUAUUCCUUUAGUUGUGACUGUUUUCAAAGGAAAUGGAGUGUGUAUGGAGUUUGGGGUGACUGCUUUCCCUGAUGAGGUUGUGAUUGAUAGCUUGUCCAUAAAGAAUCCGGAUGAAUCUGAAGACCAGCUGUUAUAUGAGGGACCUGAGUUCACGUAAGCAUUUAGUAAUUGUGAUUUAAUUUUAUCAUAUGAUAAUGUCUCUAUUACAGUUUCUGAAUGUUUCUGUUAUUUUUUACAGUGAUUUAGAUGAAAACCUGCAGAAGGCUUUUCUCAAGUAUCUCGAGAUCCGAGGGAUAACACCCAACACAACCAACUUUUUGCAGGAAUACAUGUUCAACAAAGACAACAAGGAAUACUUGGGGUGGCUGAAGAAACUGAAGAGUUUCAUUGAGAAAUGAAUAUGAAAAUAUAACUAUUGGGAUUAUGAAAUAUGAAAUGUUGAUGAUGCCCUUGAUUUUAGUUUAAAUGCAUGUUAUGUCCUGUAUUAUGAUCUGAGGGUUACUUGAGGAUGCUAAUAAUUUUUGAAAACUUGGAUUAUUCAGACUGAUGUUUAUAAUUUUAGUUUACCCUUCAAUCAAUACAAGAGUCUCUAGAUAGGUCUCAUUUGUUUCUGUUUACUUUUCAUUCUUGAGAUGUUGUAUGUAGUUUGGCUAGAUGAAGGCAGUACAAUUCAUCAUUGCCUUGUUGUUGCUCUGUUCUUUCAAGUUUCAACCAUUGUUCGUGUAGUAAGGUGUAGUUUAUGGUAUAGAUCAACUCACCUCUUUCCUAUAAGUUGGUUUUGAUCCUAUUACCAGGGGGUUGGAAGGGCGUGGCUGCGGGGUGGACAAAAUAACCAAAAACUGAACUGAACUGAUUCUGUAAAUAAAAUUCAAUUUCACCUCACCUCUUUCCUAUAAGUUGGUUUUGAUUCUGUAAAUAAAAUUCAAUUUUUUUUUUUUUAUUUUUUUUUCAUUAUUUUUUCAAAGGUAUCAAUAAUAACAGUUCGGUUUGGACCAGUUCAGAUCGAAAUGCAAACAGUGCCGUUUAGUUAUUUUAGAUUUUAGCAAACAAUUCAGGUCGGUUCAGUUUUCAUCUUGAGCUGAACCAUGCCCACCCCUAGUUGUGUCGGUUCAAGCCUGUUGGGUAAAAUUGGCAGCUCUCCUUUUAUCCAAUACACAACUUUUAUAUUUUGAGGGGAAUACAAACAACAUAAUUAUAACAAGGUUUCCAUACCUUGACAGGUCAAACACAUUUUCUAAGAGUAAAUAUCCAAGUUCGUCAUUGAAUUUUCAACGAUCAGUCAAAUUCUUCUUCAAAUUUUUUGAAAUGUCUAUUUUGUCUCUGAAUUUAAUGAUGUCCAUCAAAAUGGUCUCUCUGUCAAAAUGGUCCCUCCGUUCAAGUGCUUUGUUUUAACUUUUUAAUUGACAUUUUUUUUCUAAUUUUUCCAAUUUUACCCCUCUAUUACCCAUACCUUCCAUCCUCACAUUUCACUCAGACACAUCAAACACAUCAUUGACCUUUCUCCUUCCCGUUAAAACCUUUACCAUCUUAACCUCUCCAAAAUCAUCAUCAUCAUCUCCGGCGAUCCAUUGAUGAUAUUUUUCACUAACUGUAGGGAUCGUUUUGAUACAUAGACAAACAAUUUAAGGACCAAUUUGAUUUACAGAUUUUGACAGAGGGGUUGCAUCCAUUCAUUUUCAACUUAUUUUCAUUACACGAUUACACAGACUUAGCAUAAUACAAUAACAUGUUAAACAAUCCAAUCAAACGAAUUACUUCUAUCAAAUACUUAAUCAAUCUAAACUCACUUCGUACACAAUCAACUUUAUCCGUCAACCUUUCACCGAUGAAGUUCAGGGUUUUCCACACAAUGUUUAGUAACCAAAACUUGCAAUGAUAGUUGCGUUUUAUUUAUUUAUCAUUGAAGAGUACAAUAACAUCAUCAAUGACAACAACAAGUCAAAAAUUGAGGAGUGGUUCCAACCCUAAUAUUCACAAGUAUAAAAAUAUCAUGUAGUAUUCAAUUAUUUAGAAGUUUUAAAAUAUUUUUUGCAACACAAAUAUAAUCAAUUUUCAUGGAACAUUUACAUGAGAGAUGAAUUUUUUUUUUCUUUUUAAAUUUUUUUCAGCAAUAUAUAAGAGAUGAAACUAGAGAUAAAACUAAUUCUUUCCUAUUACCUGAAAGCAAAAGAAAAGCAAAGCACAAAAUCAAGCGAAUACGAGAUUGAUAGAUAUGAGAAGCCAUUAGUAUUUCACCUUAUAUUUUAUUGCAUGAUGUAGGACUAACACGUUCUCUAUAUAUAUACACAUAUAAUCAUAUAUUUAAGGUAAACAAUUAAGAUCCAUAACCUUUCAAAAAAAAAAAUUAAGAUCCCUAAAAAAUAUCGACUCAAAAAAGAUACAUUAAAAAAUAAAAAUGCUUUUUAUUUUUAUAACUUUAUUACAUCAAUAGAAACAUUAAUUUCUGUCAAAAGAAAUCAAUGGAAAUGUAAUUUAUCAUUAUUUCACUAUAAAAACUGUAAUUUUUUUAGUCAUAUGAAAACUUUAAGUUAAAUAUUAGGAACUAUUUAUUUCUCUAUUCUUUCCAUGGAAAGAUUUGUAUUAAGUCAAACUCUUUUUUUACUUAAAUUCAAACUAAUUUGAACUUUGGUAAGGUAGCUCAAUUGAUUUGAGUUAAAAGAUUAAAAAAGUUAAAGAAUUUAAGGAUUAGGAUUCGACUAUUCAAGUAUCGACAAUGACUACAAAGAAAAUGUGAUUUUUUUACUUAUAAUUUAGGACAGAAGAAGUAAUAUUUAUCAUUAAAAAACUUGAAGUGGUUUGUGAUUGUUUUCAGGUUAGGGAAUAACUGUAUUGGGUGAUCUAUUAGUGUGAUUUUGGAUCUUGCAUUGUAUUGAGCUUCAUUUGUAAAUCUUUUGUACGGGUUUCUAUGUAUUUGAUGAUGUUCAAACUUUCAUCAAUCCAUGCACAACUUGUACUUGGAUUAAAAAUAAAUAAAUAAAUAAAAUCAAACCGAGCCUUAAGACCAUCCAUAAUUGGAUCGUUUGAGUCUAUAAACUUAGCAUUUAAUGAAAAUAAUAGUGGUACUUAUUUAUUAAGGACCACCAUUUAUCUAAUACCCAAAUUGAAGAUGAAAUAAAAUGGAUACCUAAGGAGAAGGAGUUAUACAAGCAGUCUCUUUUUCUUUACCUUUUAUGUAUCCUACUUAAUAAAUUUGCAUUAAAAUAAAGAGAAAUCAUAUUUAUCCAACUAUUUUGUGAUAACUUUCUCUCUUAUAUUUACAUUAUUUUUUUACCCUCUCUCUCUUUAUUGCUUUGGUUUACGUGUCAAUACAUAUUUUCCUUUAUAAAUUUAUGCUUAUCCUAAAAGUUGUCACCAAAAUGGUUGUUUAAAUAAUACAUCUCUGAUGUAAAUGUGUUGUUAAAAUGUAAUUAUAUACAGUUGUUGGUGGAUUCAUUUAUAAAUUUUGAUUAAAGUGUUAAAUUGGAGGAUGUGAACGUUUAUUGUUGGAGGAAGUGAAUUUUUGUUCUUAAAAAAUUAUGUCUAAUAAUCAUUCCGUCACAAAUUAUAAGUCGAUUUGGAAAAAUUAACUUCUUAAAAAGAUUAAAUAGUUGUUUUAGAAAAAAAAAUUCGUUCCAAAUUAGAAAUCACCUUACAAUAAUAAUGAAAUAUUAAUACUGUUUUUUUAUACACUUAACUAUUUAUUAUUCUCUUUUCUCAAAAAAAAAAAAAUUUAUUAUUCUCUUUUCUUUUAAUUUUUUAAUUUAUCUUUAUUAUAUCAUUAUUAAAGAUAUUUUUGUAAAAAAACUCAUAAUUUUAUUUUCAUAAAAAUUAACUACAUUAUAAUUUAGAACGGAAGGAGUACCUAAAAACCCCUAAGCAUCCAAAUGAAAAUACCAGUAGAUUCUCCAAGAAAAUUAAACAAAUUCUUCUAUCUUUUUUCUAUCUUAAUUCUUAAGUUUUGGUUGUAACGUACGACAUAAUUAUACUCCGGCAUUUUUCUAUGUGCUAUACUUUUCCUCUUCGAAAUUUCUUUGGUCAAAUCAAACGAUAUAAUAUUUUGCUAACCUUUCCUUUUACAUUUCUAUCAUAAUUUUCUUUUAUUUUUUUCUCGUAUUUUCCUUUUACAUCUUACAUAUUUUGCAACUCAAUAAUAAUUUCAUUAAAAGAAGAAUAACAAAGGAGAGAGUAGUAGUAGAAUUCAAUUAAAUAAUUUUAACAAGGAGUGUGCGGAUAUGAUUUUCUUAGAGAGAUUGUUGAUUAUUAUUGCGUCACAUCACACAAAUUGUUUCCACCUUUCCAAUGUUAAUUGCGCAGAAUUUUAUAGUAUAACUUUUCGUGCAAACAAGGUUGUUUGACUUUAUAUUUGUCAAGAUAAGAAGAUCGUUGACUAUAAAUUAUAUGGAGUAUAUAUAAAGGGUAAAGCUGUACAAGAAAAUAAGACUCAAAAGCCAACAAAAUAUGGGGAAUUUUUGCUCUGGACAUGAAAAGAGAAGAGAUGAUAAAAUAAACAAGAAAAAUGGUGGAUUUAAAGCCAUGCAAGGUGGUAACAUGGUUUUUAUGACUGAUGCUAAUCCUGGAGGGGGUCAUCAUGGACAUGAUGGAGGUGGAGGUGGUGGCGGAUGUGGAGGUGGUGGUGGAGGUGGCGGAGGGUGUGGAGGUGGAGGUGGUGGCGGAGGGUGUUGAGGUGGCGUUGGAGGCUUCUGAGAUAUGGUUGGCGGUAUUUUGUUGGAUUGUAUUUACUUAGUUGACAUGCCACCUUAUAUAGUCAUAUUUUGUAAAUAUUUGGUAACCUUAUAUAGUUAAUUAUACCUCUUUAUCUUAUGUGAAAUAAACCAUGUUGUACUUCUAUUCAAAUUGAUGUUAUAUCAUAGUUUUAUAAGUUUUUAUAUUUGGAUAGUGAAAGUAUGUUAAUUUGUACAACAUAAUUUUGAAUGAAAUUUAUGUUUUGCAAAAUUAGAUUAAAAUUGAAUUUAAAUUUGAUUCUUAAGGUCUCAGAUUCUCUCUGAUGCCAAUUUAAAGGGUUAGUUUAGCUUCUUCAAAAAAAAAAAUUAAAUUCAAAUAUUCAAGGGCGCUUGAAUGAGAUUAUGUUAGUCUUUUUCAAUUGAACCAGAUAUCUUGUGUUCAAAUAGCCUACUUCCUACUAUGUUUAAAAAAGUUCUAUAACAAAUGCUUUUUAUAGCAAAAAUUUAAUCUACGAAACUUUCACGACUACAUAAACACAUCUUUAUUUUUGACAACUGCAUGUUUGAUAAGUGGGUUUUAUUUAUUUAUUUAUUGCCAAGGCAUUUUCCCAUUCGUGAAACAUUCGGAAGAUUUCUCUCGUGAAUAUAGCAUUCUCCUAGUUCUAUAUAUUCUCUCAACUAUAUCAUUUUGUUGUGAUGAUCUUGAACUUUCCAAAAGACAGAAAAUGCCACGAGUUGCACGGAAUUUAUUGAACUCCUAUGAAGUGAAUUUACCUCCUUGAUUAGAUCUCAAAUUAUUUGUGAUUGUAAACUUAACUCAGUUGGUAGGAACAAUGUAUAAUAUAUGUAAGAUUCGGUGUUUGAAUCCCGACCACCACAAAAAAUAUCUCAAAUUAUUUUUAACUCGUUAUAUCAGAAAUGGCAAAAUGGAUCAACUCGUUAUAUUUAGCUCCGCAUUACAAUUAACUUGAAAAAGAUAUGGCGAGGCGGACCAAUAUGUGUGGGUUGUCCCGUAUAACAAAAAAAAAAACUUCCUAAAAAAACAUAAACUAUUCCCAUUUUUUUUUUACAAUUUAUUAUUACAAAAGAAAAUUGUUAUUAUAAGAAAUUGGCAGUUUGAUAAGUUUGUGGUAAAAACAUCAAUGACUCAAUGUCAUUCGCAACAACAUAGUUAACAAAUGAAACCUCAUCAGCAAUCUAACAACAUAAAUACAAUAAAUAUAAUUAACAGAAUCAAACAAACAAUGUCACUAGUAUAAAUUAAGCAACAUUUAACAAAUCUCAAAAUAAAUCCCCCAUCAUACAAAAAAAACCAACCAACAUUCAAAGAAAUUGCAAAAUAAAUCGUCAGUUUGGGGCACCUAUUAUUACUUACUAAUAUAGUAAUAAUUUUUACUUUUGAGGAGCCCACAUGCCAACCUGCUUGCCCCAUUUUUACAACAGGAUAAACGGUGCAGAUCAAUUAAAAAAGGUGGACUCAAAACAUCGACCCACUCUAUCUUAAAUAGUGGGUUAAAUGGGUCAGUCAAACGUACUAUAUAUGUUUUUCCACCCCUAUUAACAUUAGAGGUGGGGGUUAUUUAUCAUAAGAAACAAAGGGGAACUUCGAGUGCAACGACGAAAGAUAAAAAUGCUUAAUAAUAAGGUAAAAGAGUUCACAUCUGGGUGAAAGUGAGGAAAGUUAAAAGAGAUAAAAUAAUGUUAAAUUGAAAUGAAGUUUUUUUUUUUUUUUUUUUUUGUCAAUUUAAUAACAAAAUAAGGUAGAUUGGAGUUUAGUUAAAAACUAAAGGGUGUGUUUAGAGCUCUCAAACGGAAAUUGCUCUUUAAGCUUCAAUAAUUGCUCUCCCACGCCCCAAAAUUAACUAAAUACCAUAUACGAUAAUUAACUGUAGUUUGCUAUCCAAAUGUAGUUAAUUGUCGUUAUGUUUGUGAUAGUUAACUACCAUUACAUUCUGUCUUAUAUUAGCGCAACAACUCACUUCCAGACUUCUACAAAGAAAACAAUGCAUGUAAAGCAAUGUAAAAUGUUGAAUGAUGAUGAAAGUGAAGGUUUUCCAAGAUGUUGUUAUAAACUUGAUAUAGAUGAUUUGUUGAUGACAUGUCAUCUUACGUUAUUCUUAGCAUGUUUUUCAGUUAUUUUUAAUAGGUUUUAGCUGCAAAAAGGAGGAGUAUUAGAACAAUUGUCUAUGAUUUUGGAACUUUUGUAAUGUUUUCUAUAUUUGAGUAUAUAAUUUUAGUAAUGUUGAUGUUCUGGAUGAUGCCUCUGAUGUUCCAAAAUGUCCAAUUAUGCAAUAAUUUUUAGAUAUUCUUUUGAAGUAAUGUUGAAGUUUGUUACUUUCUUUCAAGAUGAGUUCUUGUGUUAAAAUGAAAGAAGGUAUGACUGUGUGGUAUCUCUCUACCUUGUACGUAUGGCCUCAGUUUGUUUUAGCCAAAAAUUUGUAAAAGGGGGAGAUUGUUGGGUAUUUGAUUAUUGACUUCAUUGUUGGUAAAACAAAUACUCAUGUAUGAUGUUGGAUACAAUGUUCUAACAUCUUGACACAGUUCAGUGUGUGGCUUGAUUUCGUGAACUGUAUCUUUUUUAAGGAAACCACACCUUAUUUCUUGUUCACCAAGUAACAUAUUUUUGUCCAGGAUCAGUUGGAUGAUUUGUUCCUAAAGUAUAGACAAUAUUUUAGGAUUCCUUGGUGAUGUUGUUUGGCGGUUCCUAAAUAUGUUCCUACUUUUUAGGUGUUGAUAUAUUUUUUAAGUGAGAUCACUGAAGAUUCUAUGAAGAUUUUAUUCAUGUGACUUAUGGUCCAAGAGACUUGUGUUUCCAGAAGAAAAUAUUUUUCAGAUGGAUAUUUUUAUUUGUGAAAUAUAUUUUAAAAGAGAUUUUGGAAGAUAUAUUUCUGAAGAAUAUUUGUUUCAAUAUAUUUCUGAAAAAAAUAUUUGAUACAAAUAUAUGUUUAGCCUAUGAGGAAAAAGCCCAUGCUGCUGAAUGGCUAUACGAGGAAGACUCAUACCAUAGUUUUAUUUACUAAUUCAAUAGUUUUGAAUUGAGUCUUUUAGGGUUUCGACUUGUGCUUUAUUUUUGAGCCUCUCUUUGUAUCACCUUGAUGCAUUGAGAAAGACCUUUAGUUGAGUUGUAAUGGAUCAAAACCCACGUUUUAUAUAAGAGUCAUAAUUAGGGUUUUGUGUCCUUGUUAUUUGUGUUUCACUCGUAAGCUUUUAAGCAAGAGUGGAUUUUAUUGGAGUGUGUCUCCAUUUUGAUUGUAUUUGUUUAAAUUACAGGGGUUCUGAGAUGGGAUCUCAGAUCUAGGAGUUCCUAUGUUGAAGUCAAUACGGGUAAGUCCUAGGUCUAGAGUUGUAAACGAGAGAUUUGCUGAUAACUUAGAAUAAGGACUACACUAGUGGAUUUCCUUCCUGGCUUGGUAGCCCCUAGAUGUAGGUGAUGUUGCACCGAACUGGGUUAACAAACCUUCUGUGUCUUUUUACUUUUAUGUCCUUUAUAUUUCCAUUGUUGUGUUUGUUUUCUACUAGCUCGAUGUUGAAACAUCUUACUCAACAUUCUGUUUGAGUCUGAUGUUGAAACAUCAUAUAAAACAUCAGCAAACUAGCCCACCAGAAUUUCAGUUUGUAUCUAGAUUGAUCUGCAAUUAUUAUAUUGAUGCAUUCCUUGUCAAUCAAAAUUUCAUAUGAAGAGCACAUUUUUUAGUAUAAAACCUUGCAAAGAAACAAUAUGUCUUUUUUUUCUUUUUUGUGUGUGAAAAAAGCAAAAAUUUUGAUCUACAUUACAUAUCACUUUUAAAUAAAAAUGAUAAUAUUGAAAUAUGGGUCUGGCUGCCUCAACAUAACCCAUAAUUUUUUUGGUUGAACUCAAUUUUUACAUGAAAGAUGCUCAAUAAGCCAACAAAAUGCUCACAUGUCCCUCAAAAUUAAAAAAAAAAAAAACCUCUAUGCUUCUAACUUCUGAUCGCUCUAGUUCAGGAGCAAAGACUCGAUCUCCAUAGAUUUCAUUUAACCUUGGAUCAAAAGUUAUGAAUCGAGAUCAGAUCGAGAGUUAAAAUUUGAUCCAUUCAUGCUUCAGACUUAGACAUAAUUUACAGUACCAAACACGUAAUUCAUUAACCAUUCAUAUUUUCAAGAACAAUUAACAACACUCAUAAUCGAACAAUAAUUUUUGACAAUCAUGAUUCAACAAUACACAAAAACUUAUAAUUCACCAUCAAUAAUUCAACAUUAAUAUGGUUUAGAAACAAGAUGUUCAACCAUAACUAUAAGUAAAGCACAAAACAAAAUUAAAAACUAAAUUAUAAUUUAAAAACAUCAAAAGAUUGCAUUGAAAUUGAAGGAAUUAAUGUGCUGAGUAGUUUCAGAGUUCAGGACGGAUAACGUUCAAGUCUUAACUUUUGAUAAAUAACAAUCCAUGUUUAAAAAAAAUGUAAAACAACAAUGUAAUCAGUUUAAAAGAUGUAAUUCAUAUUCUUUGAUGUCAUAUGAGUGAAGAAAUCAUUAUGCAAUUAUGUAAUGAUAAUUAGAGUUUAGGGAGGUUGUGUAGCACAUGCUUGGUUGCUUGAUAUUUAAAUAGAAUUGCAGUUCGGGUCAUAACCUCAAAACUUGAACGAGUAGGAGUUAUAACCAAGAGAUCGAAUUGUAACUUCCAAAAAAGGUAUUUUUUUGGGUUUCGAGGGGUGUAUGAGCAAAUGAAGGGGCCUAUUGAGAUUUUUUUUUACAUCCCUUAUAAGAAGUGAUUGGUCAAUUCCAUCCCAUCUAUAUGUGUUGGCUCGUCAGGCUAGGGCUAGGCCGAGUUAGCCCAUUAGCAACUCUCGGGUGUGUGAGUGUUACUUAAAAAGGCUGGAGGAGAUUAAUGUAUUUUUCUCAAAAACAAUUAAGGCUUAAAUAUGCAAAUGGUAUUUGCAAAUUUCAAGGGUUUUGAUUUUAGUCUUGUAUUUUUUUUUUAAUGGCAAAAUAUAUAUAUAUAUAUAUAUAUAUAUAUAUAAAAGAGAGAAUUGUACAAGAUACAUCAAAACAUCUGUCAAGUGACGCACCUGAAAACCACCAAAGGAUAAACCCCAAGGGCCACACAAAAAAACCAUCCAAAUACGGAAAAAAAAAAAAAAAGGAAAAACUACACAAAGAGAAAGCUACACCAAAAGAGAGAAACAAAAAGUAACAAUCUUCACCCAACAAAAAUUUGUCGUGACAGAGACAAAAAAGCAAAGAAACAACCGCAUAAGCAGGCCAGGAAAGAGGAUACAGAAGCCCCCACCCAAACCCCCAAGCGAACCGAGGCAAACCGCCACCAAAACCCUAUCGAUGCCAACAUAGGACGGGCUGCACCUCCAACUCAUGAUAAGUGCAUGAACUAGCAUGACACUUGGCAAGGAACCGCUUCCAAGCUAAGAGUUUCACUCUAUACACCACAGGCUCCUCACGGAGAGUGCCACUAGAGAAAAUAAGGCGUUCCGAGACGUCCAGAUGGUCCAAAUAACAACAUGUCAAACCAGAAGAAGACCUAAUCUAACUCUCUUCCCCCUCUAAUGCCCGUGAAGGCAUGCAAAUAUAUGAUCUUUUGUUUUGGUUCUUGGAGUUUUAUUUUAGUCUCUCUAAAAUUUAUUCAUAUUAAAAUUGAUGCAUAUAAUAUUCAUUUUAGUCCUUAUUUUAAGGGAUUAAAAUCAAAUAUUCUACAUAUUACAAUGACCAAAUCCAAUAUGAAUCAAUUUUCCAAGGAUUACCAUGACCAAAUCCAAUAUGAAUCAAUUUAGAAGGACUAACACUAAAACGAAAUUUUUACUAGACUAUUAAACUUUUAUUUAACUCAACUUUUAAACUUCUAUUUUUGCUUCAACGCUCACGUCUUCAGAUCUGCAACGUGGAUGACGCCAAAGUGAUUGAUUUGAUUUAUACCAUAUCGAAGCUGAUUUGGCAAUUUGAACCAAACAAAUACCUGAACAAAACAAGAAAGACAGACAACGCCGCACAAAGACGACGAAAAAACCAAGGUCGCACUAAGACGGAGAAAUCACAAAAUGAAAACGAAAUAGAUGUGAAAAUCACUUAUUUCAAUAAAGGAAAAGAGAAAAACUAGUUAGAGGAGUGAUUUUGGGUAAAAAAAUUGACCUUAAAUCACUCAUCUUUAAUGGAUGAAGGAGAAGAAACUAGAGUUUUUGUGACGUCUCAAAGAGAGGAAAGAGAGAGAACAAAGAGAAACUCUUGUGACUCCGAACAUCACGCUUUCUUGUCAAUUAAUAAUCGUAUUAAUUAGAAUUGGAAUGAGUUUUACAAAAUUUAUAUUGAAACUUAUUUUUUUUGACAAUAUCCAUUUUUUAAUAGUAGAACUCUAUUAAAUAAUUUUAACAAAAGAUUCUCGUGAGCUUAAUUCGGUUGAUAUAAAUAAUGUAUAAUAUAUACAAGGUUAGUGGUUCAAAGAAGAGCUUUAUCACAAAAUACAUUUAACAAAGGAGUGUGUGGAUAUGAUUGUUUUGGGAAUGGUGCGAAUACGGUGCAUACGAAACUUCAUGGAUGAGCAAUAGUUGCUCACUGAUUUGAUAUCUUCUAUGUACUAUAUAGUACCUAUUUUGUCGGUUUCUAAGAAGUAAGUUGACCUCUUAGCACCUUUUAUUGCUAAUUCAGUGAACUUUAUCGUCGAUGGUAUGUAUGAGACAUGAUCAUUAUAUAUUUUUUAAGGAGACAUGAUCAUUAUUAUUAUUUCUACAAAAGGGUGCUGUAUUUUUGUUAUUAUUUUUAAUCUAGUGUUAGUGCUCGUUUAUUUUAAUCUCCCAUUUUUUUCUAGUAAAAUAAAUGAGAAGAUAUGCUGCAUGUAUGAAGUUCACUUAUUUAUUAUUAAUUUUUUUAAGGGAAAAAAAAAAUUGUGUAUGCCACGUAUCAAUGACCACUUAAAAUGUGUCACAUAUCAAUGUUAUUUUAUAAAUGUUUUAUUCGAUAUACAUUUUUUAAAUGGUAUGCCACAUGACACAUCCUAAUUAAUCAAUGGUAUAUAUCUUUGAUACUUUAAUGGUGCACAAGUGUUAUCCGUCUUAGAGUGAUGGUUGAAUAUUAUUAUUAAUUGCGCAUAACUUAUAAGACUUUUCGUGAAAACAAGGUCGUUUGACUGAAGUUCCAAGGAGGUUAAUUGACUAUAAAUUAUUAGUUAUAUAGGUGUAUAUAAAGGGUAAAGUUGUACAGGAAAAUAAGACUCAAAAGCCAACAACAUAUAUACAGAAAUGGGAAAUUUUUGCUCUAGAUAUUGUGGAGGUAAAGGUGGAGGUGUAGGUGAAGGUGGAGAUGGAAUAGGUAACAUUGUGACUGAUGCUAAUCCUGGAGGGGGUCAUCAUGGAGGGGGUCAUCAUGGACAUGGUCAUCAUGGAGGGGGUCAUCAUGGAGGUCAUCAUGGACAUGGUCAUCAUGGAGGGGGUCAUCAUGGAGAUGGUGGUGGAGGUGGUGGCGGUGGGUGUUGAGGUGGUGGUGGAGGCUUCUGAGAUAUGGUUGGAGGUAUUCUAUUUUGUUGGAUUGUAUUUACUUACUUAUUUGACAUGCCACCUUAAUUAUAUCUUAUGUGAAAUAAAUCUUGUUGUACUUCUAUUCAAAUUGAUGUUAUAUCAUAUUUUUAUAUGUUUCUAAAUUUGGAUAGUGAAUGUAUGCUUUAGUAUGUUGUACUUUUUGAAUAAAAGUUGUUUUUGCCAUUUGAUUCGAUUUAAUUUGAAUUCCAAUAUCUGCUUUUAGCAAAAUGAUGUGGGUUUGGUCGACUUCCGUCCCUGCUCGACGGGUGGGUCUUGCAGUCAAACUCCCUUCUACCUUUGCACUCGAGGGCCAAUCUUCAUCUUACCCGAGGAAAACUUUACAAUAGGUUCCACUCCAAGAAAAUGGUUUCGAUGCUAUGUUGUUUAUUCAUAUUGUUUAGUCACAAACUUAAUGUGACAUUUAAUAGAAUAAAUUUUGAUUGCUGUUGUUGUAUCCUGUCACUUAAUCAUAAUCUUCUGAUCAUAUUUCUAGUGUAAAACAUUUUGUAAUGAUAUAAAAAUUCAACUCCAAAAGUAAACAGAGUGGACCUACUAGAAAAGGUGGACUCAAAACCUUGACUUAGUCCGUCUAAAACAGCGAGUUAAAUUAAUUGGAUCAACAAACUAUAUUUGUUUUGUCACUCCUAUUAACAUUAGACGCGUGGGUUAUUCAUAGUGGCGGAGCCAGAAAUUUUAUCGAAUAUGAAUAAAAUUUUGAUUGUAAAUUCACAUAUGACAAUAUAUAAAUAGUUAUAAAUUGAAGUAAGAGAGACUCGUCAUUUUUUCGAUAAAAGUAUAAUUUGAAAUAAGAGAGAGAUGAAACAUAACUUGUCAAUAGUGUGCUAAAUUAAAUUAGGAGUAAAUGCCCUUUCCAAGACCUCUUUGCGGUGAAUGUUCGAAUAAUAUCAACAUUAUCAAGUGCCUUGAAUAUCUCUCGCUCGGUGUAACAUAUCAUCAAGUUAUUGAAACACACAUCGUUGAUCUUGUUGGUAACAAUUAUUUCUCACGAGCUUAUAAGAUUAUUUUACUAGCUUAUUGGCAAAGCUUGAUAACCCGUGGAGUACUUCCAACUUUUGUUGAUGUUGGUAAUAGCUUUAAGAUACCCAUUUUGUUAUUGUAGAUCCACAAAUUAAAAAUUAAAUUCUAAUUUAUUAUGCUCUGUUGUAGAAGUGAUUGUAAGUUUUUUUAGAUAUGAAGUGAUUGUAAGUUGUAACUUGAUUAUGUCAUUUUAUUUAAUAAGCUAUUAUGAAUAGUGAUUCAUGAGACAUCCCAACGUCUAGGUGAAGCCUUAAUAACCAUCCUAUAUUGUUUAUAUUAAUAACCUCUCCGUAUUUAUACAAGUUUUGAGGUCAUUAAAAAAUGAUAAACCAAAUUAAAAGUGAAUAAGAGCACGCCACGUUUCAAGGGACACAUAGCAUUCUAUUCUUCUUUUUUUUUUUUUUUGAAGGAACAGCAUUCUAUUCUUCUUGUAAGUAGGAGGUGUACACUUAUGGUAACCUUAGAAAUCAUGAGUCAAAAGUUAUUGAGAGUGGCAAGUCCUUGUUGCUCCAAUGAAAAAGUUAACAUAAAUGUGGUGUAAAUAAUUUAUAGCUCUUACAAAGUGUAAAUCACUUAUACCAAAAAAGUUAUAUUUCUUUAUUAUUCACAGUGAAUAAUAAAGAUUGUUGUUAUGGUUCAACCACAUGCUUCCAACGUAAAUGAAAUAGAAGCAGGAGGUGAAAUAAAUUGAUAGAUUUCUUAAUUAACAAUGAAGAAAGACAUAUUAUAUUUCUAUACCAACUAUAAAGUGAUGAACUAUGAAGUGUACCAAAAAUAAUGUAGCGUGAAUUAUUUCUAUACCAACUAUAUAAUAUCUAAUGUAUCUACUAGUAGUAUAAUAUGUAGAACAUAUAUGUAUUUAGAAUGUUGAUCCUUAAAACACAUGUAUGUGUAUAUAAAAUAGUAAUAAGAUAUAUCUUUGCAUUUGUCAAUCAUCAGUUAGAAUAUAUAAUAUAGAAAACUAUAUAUGUAUGUGAGCAAAGCAACUUAUAUAUUAUAAUCGUCAUUAUUUUUAUAAAUAAUUAUGUUAUACUUUAUAAUUUGGUUAGUACAAACAAAGUUAAAUUAAAUUUAAAAUAAAAUUUGCCCCAAAAUAUUGAAGAAAGAAUUGAAAACUCAAGGGUAAAAUUGGAAUUUCAUGUAUGACAGUGAUUGCCACGUCAUCAAAUUAGUGACAUGACAGUGAUUAAGUGGAGAGAGGGACGAAAUUUUAAAUGAUUAAACAAUGCAAGGGUAAAUUGCCAAGAUUAGCGAUUACAUGGACCAAUAUUUAAACGACCCCUAAUUGCAAUGAUGAAAUACAUAUUUAAGCAUUUUUAAAAAUGAUCUCCUUAUAGUUACUUACGUUUUGUACGUAGGUAAAAGUGAAAAACGUGCAGUGACAACCAUUUGACAAUGACAGACAUAUUUAACUACGAAAAUUUGGCCUAUAGUAACGGAUUUUGGCCAUACUAUAAGUCAAAUCGUUUGUAAAUUUCUCGUAACGAUACAAAGAAAAUAUGUGUUGAACUCGGGCGUGUGCCCAAGCUCGUCGGACGGUAAAUCUGCCCAUGAUUAUUUAUUAGGAGAAAAAAAGGGAAACUUAGAGUUCAACAACAAAGAUAAAAAUGCUUAAUAACAAAGUAAAAAAAAUUAUGGUAAUCUGCGUGAAAGUGAGGGGAGUUAAAGAGAUAAAAUGGUGUUAAAUUGGAAUGGAGUUUUUUUGUCAAUUUAAUAACAAAAUUAGGGAGAAUGGAGUUUAGUUAAAAAAACUAAAGGGUGUGUUUACGGCUAUAAUAAAAAGAAAAUUGCACUUUAAGCUUCAAUAAUUGCUCUUCUAUGCCCCAAAAUUACUUAAAUACCCUCAACGACAAUUACCUAUAUGUAGUUCAUCGUCGUUGUGCGAGCGACAGUUAACUAUUGUUGUGUUCUUCCUUAUACCAACAAAGCAAACAAUGCAUGUAAAAUAUUAUAAAAUGUUGAAUGAUGAUGAAAGUGAAAAUGAUCUAAGACGUUGUUAUAAACUUGAUCUAACUGACAUGACAAUUGACAUAUUUCUAUUGACAGGGCAACUUGAUCAAGUUUAAAACAGCUUCUUCGUGUUCAGAUCCGCCGGAUAGGUAUUUAUAAGAUGCGUGAAGAUGAAAGGCAAGAUAUUUAUGAACAUGAUCCCGCUAUUGAUGGUAAAGAGGAAAUGUUUUAACGAGAUCCACUAAUAUGAGAUAAAAUGUUGUUAAAGUUUUACAAAUGAUUUGUACUUGUUUACACUUUGAGAACUCUAAGAGUGGUAAACUCUUUUUCGGGAACUUCUACGGUACACCUCACAAAUUAAGGUGUACUGGUACUCCUGCUUCAAAUAUUUACAAUUUAACGAUUAUUUUAUGAAAUAAAGAGUUAUUUAUCAAUAUUUAUAUUUUAUAAUACAUCGUUUUAUAAGAAUAAACAUCAUUUCAUUGUUUAUAAGAAUAUAUUAAAUUUUUAACAUUUUCUCAUAAAAAAUAAUAAAUAUUCUUUGUUAUAUGUAACAAAAAUUCAAAAAAUGUAAAUUUUAUUUCGUCGACACUUUCGGUAACUAAGAUAUAAUUAUUGUAAUAGUUAAUGAUAGAAAACAAUUCUUUUUCUUUGAAAAAACAACUCGUUUCAAUAUGAAUUUGAUGAUUUGGUGUACCGGAACACUCAAAUUUUUUAGUGUAGCAUAGAAUUUGCCAUUAACUUCUGAUACUUAAGAAAAUUCUAAGAAACUAAGUUUGUAAAAUAUUUCUAAGUGUUUGAAGGCUUUUGAAUUUGACAGAGGUUUGACUCUUAUAAAUUUUUUCAAAGUGUUAUGUAUUCUUCAAACUGCUCAAAUCUUUAAAUUGGAGAGAAAAAUGUAGUUGUUGUUUUUAAGUUAGACAGCUCAUCAUAAUCGUCCUUGAGUAGCUUGAUCAAAUUUUGAAAAAUUUACCUCAAUUGGAUAACGUCGUUGAAUAGUACUUGAAAAAAAAAUCCUUUGCUUUAUAUUGAAUGAUCAGUUCAUUCUGUCUUUUUUUUCUUCUUCUUUUCUGCACGUGAUAAAUAGCAGACAAACUAUACUGUCAGCGCUCAAAAGAGACCUUCCAUAAGAAGAAGACAAAACUGGUCAGAGCCACCCAGACUGCUGGCAACAUUAGAACUUGUUUCCUUCCGAGGCUGAAACCAUUAAAGCCUAUUUUCAUCAAAGUAUUUAAGACACCUUCUAAUCAGAGAGUUAACUUUCUGUUGACGUUUAUUCAAAUGUCUUUUAAGUCUACAGAAGUUCUCAAUGGUUUUCUUUAGUACUAAAUUUUUUUCCCUUGUGCUUAGAGCUUGAUAUCUCAUAACCAAAGCCUGACUUUGAAGUCAAAAUUUAAUUAUAUGGUCAUGCACACUUGAACACACAUUAGAGUGUCAGGUUGUUCUUUCAUAAAUUAUUAUCAUCAGAACUUAAGAGACAUUGUCCAAAAACCCAUUAUAGUUCAACAAGAAAUUGUAUAACUCAUUAGAUAGAAUACAAAACAUGUUCCUACCAUUCUUUUGAGUUUUCGAAGAGACUAGAAAAUCAUUACACUAAGUAUAAGAAAGUUCAAUGCCAACAUUUUCAGAAAACUUUCAUGAAUUAAAUAAAACUCUACAUCAUAAUGAUACAACAUCCUUUAGGAGAAUGUCAUGUAAGGCGCUCUUAUUUGUGUUUAUGUACUAUAAUAGCCCGAUUUUAACGGAAAUGAAAUGAAACUACAAAUUAUCAUUUGUGGUUUUCUAUUGUUUAGAUGCAUAUAUCAAGUAGCAUGGAUAAAAUUUGAAGUAUAAAAGGUCAAUGUAAUUUGUGUGGGCUUUAAGUCUGCCGAAAAUGUUAGCCGAUAAUUCAAGACAUUCUUGUAUGUAUUCUGUGCUCAUAGCUACCUCGAUUAGUCGCGUCAUGAACAAGAGUAAAAUGAUAAAUUGUCAAGUUUUCGCAAAGUUUUUAUAUACUAAUACCUACAUGAACUUUGAGAACCUCAAUAGACUUAAGAAAGUUUCGACUAAUCCACAUUUAACUGGUUUUGAGCUCUCUGAUUCUUCAAUUGGUUGAGGGAAACUCGCUCGACCCUAACUUCACAAGUCUGUUGAUUUCGACUAACAAAUUAUUUAUUUUUAAAUGUAAACAAUAUCAUAUCAUUAUUUAUCUAUAAUAUAUUAUGAUAUAUCUAUGCAUUUAUGAGGAGCCAUAUAACAACAUGAUAUAAUAACUCAUAAAAAAAAACUUUAUUGGCCAAAAUUACAUUACGUUCAUAUCUUAUCGCAUGUUUACAAAUCCUUGUAAAAUUUUGCUUUUGAGAAUAAUUAAAUAAAAUCAAACUGAGCCUUAAGACCACCCACAAUUGGUUCGCUUACUUCCAUAAACUUAGCAUUUACACUUUGUAUGGUUGAAGAAUGAAAGUAAAAGGAAAGAAAGAAAAAGGAAAGAUUGUAUGAUCGAGGAAAGAAAGAGAGUAGAAAGUGAGGGGAUUAUUUUAAUUGUUUGAUAUAAUCGAGAGUGGAGUAGAAAGUUAAAGGAAAGAAAGAUCUCUAUAUCAUAAAUUAUAUAUAAACACGUGUCUGGAAAAAAUGUGUGGUUAGAUUUUUUGAGUAGUUUAAUUGCAGAGACAAGACAUAAAAAUUAGGAAAUAAAUUAAAAAAAAUAAAGAGAGAGAUUAUGAAUCAAUAGUGAAAUAAAUAAAUUAGUAAAAAAAAAGUGAAAUAAUGAAAUAAAUAAAAGUAACAAGAGUUAGGGGUGUUUCGGACUUUUCAUACAGAACAUGGUGUUUCUCGUCCUUUCCGUGACCGUGCCCUUUCCGUGCAUCUACGAGAGGAAAGUUUUUUAAUGUUGGUCCCACAAAAUUCUUUCUUUCCUUUGCCUCUUAACACUGUGUUUGGUUGAAGAGAAAUAGUGAAGAGAGAAGUAUUAAAGAGAGAAAAAGAAGAGAAAGUCUUGAUUUCUGUCGUUUGAAAUGAAGAGAAACUGAGGAGAGAGAGAGAGAGAGAGAGAGAGAGAGAGUUUUUUUCAUGGGUCCCAGACCUUUUUCUGGUCUUCUCUAUCCAGCGAAAAAAGGAGGUGGAGAUGCCCAUGUUUUUUGAAAUUUCAUUUUUAUCCUUUUCUCAAUAAAACCGCCACGGAAGAAGAAAAGGUUUGGGCCUUUGUUUUUUUAUUAGUUUUACUUUUUCUGAAGGAAAUGUCUUUGUUUUUUUAGUUGAUUUGUGAAAUUAAAUCCUUAUCAAAUUAAGUUAAUUCAGGAAAAAUAAUUAAGUGUUAUCACUACUGCAAAUAUAAUGUCUGCACACAAAUUAUUUUAGAGAAAACUAAUAGAUUUAAUUACUUAAUUUCCUUAAAUUAAUAUAAUUAAUUAACUAAAAAUAAUUAUUUAAUUCAUAAAUUAAUAAAGAACAAAUUAAAAAUGAAAUUAAUUUUAUAAGUCUUUUUUAGUUUAGGGGUAUAUUUGUAUUUUUGAAAACAAUCAACACUUCUUUCUCUUGAUUUCUCUUCUAUCUCUCUCAUACCAAACAACCUAUCAAAUCUACUCUAUUUCUCACAUAUUUCUUUUUCACCAUACUCUUUCUCACCUAUUUCUCUCUUAUCACUUUCUCUCCACAACCAAACACACCUUAAGUGAGUUCCAAACGAAAGAAAGUGUUUCUUUCUCUCAACUUUCUCUCCUUCUCACAAACUUUCCAUAGAAACAAACAUGGCCUUAAUGAAACCUUUUUUUAAGUUAAUAAAAACGGUACUUAAUUAUUAAGGACCACCACCUAUUAAGUAUGACACAUAAAUAUUUGGGUGCCAUAGUUUUUUAGUGCCAUUGGUGACAUAGUUCAUUUUAGAUGAAAGAGAAUGAUUAAAAUAAAUUAUUUAGAUGAGAGAGAAUGAGUUGUUAAGAGAGAGAUAGACACAAAGUUACCUAUGGCACCAAUGGCACCAAAAAACUAUGGCACCCAAGUGCUACCCGUUGGUGAAAUAUAAUAAUAUAUACUCCAUUCGUCUUGGAUUAACUGAGUCAUUUGCUCAUUUCAUAUAUAUUAAGAAAAAUAUAUAAAUGAAGGAGAGAGAAAAACUGUUUUGUUGUUAGUUAUUGGUGCAUUCUCCACUAUCAUAAAUACAAAGUAGAAUAUAUUGAAUUUGGAGUGAUAAAAGUAGUGUUAAUUAGAGUUAUAAAGGAAAAAAAAUAAAAUGACUCAUAUGUUGAGACACUUUUUUUGCAAAUAACUCGGUUAUUAUGAGACGGAUGAAAUAGUUAUUGGCGGAUCCAUUUAUAAAAUUUGAUUAAAGUAUUAAGUUGGAGGAAGUGAAUGUUUUCCUUUAAAAUAUUAUGAAUGAAUGAUGUGUAGUAAUCACUCCAUCACAAAUUAUAAGUCACUUUUAAAAAAUUUAAUUCUUAAAAUAAUAAUUGGUUUUGAAAAAAAAAUUAUCUUAAAUUAUAAGCCACUUUACAAUACCCAUAAAAUAUUUCCUUAAAAAAAUACCCAUAAAAUAUUAAUGUUUCUUUUCCUUUUAUACACUUAACUAUUUACUACUCUCUAUCUCUUUAAUUCUUUAAUUUAUCUUUUAAGUUAUCAUUUUUUUAAGGAUACCAAUAGAUUCUCUAAGAAAAUUAAAUAAAUUCUUCUAUCUUAACUCUUAAGUUUUUGCAUGUAAUGUAUGACAUAAUUAUACUCCGGCAUUUUUCUAUGUGCUAUACUUUUCGUCUUAGAAAUUUCUUUGGUCAAAUAAAACGAUAUAAUAUCUUGCUAACUUUUCCUUUCACAUUUCUACUAUAAUUUUCUUUUCUUUUUUCCUCGUAUUUUCCUUUUACAACUUACAUAUUUUUCAACUCAAUAAUAAUUUCAUAAAAGAAGAAUAACAAAGGUAACAUCAUCUUCAAUGAAAAAAAGGUCGUUGACUAUUAUUGUCUUCGAGAGAUUGUCGAUAAAAUUCUCUAUCAAUCAUUGAUUAUUAUUACGUCAUUACGUCAUAUCACACGAACGUAGUUUCCAAUGUUCUUGCGCAGAACUUCAUAAAACUUUUCGUGGAAACAAGGUCGAUUGAUUGAAGAAAAAUAGGAGGUUGACUAUAAAUUAUAAAUUACUGGGAAAUGUUAACGAGUGCCUUCGAGACACUUUUAAGAUCCAUAAAUAGUAAAUAUUUUUAAAAAUACAUGUAAUUAUUGUUUAGAAAUUGAAAUAUUUAAUUUUAUUAAAGAGUAAUUGCUUAUUUUAAAAUGCUUAAAGAGUGCAUUGGGGACACUCGUUAAUAAGACCAUAAAUUAUACAGGUGUAUAUAAAUAUAAAAGGUAAAGCUACAGGUAAAUAAGACUCAAAAGCCAACAGCAUAUAAUUAGCAUUGUUUAUGAAUAUGAUAAUAACAUUGUUUCUGAUGGAGGGGGUCAUCAUGUAGGGGGUCAUCAUGGACAUGUUCAUCAUGGAGGGGGUUAUCAUGGAGGGGGUCAUCAUGGAGGUGGUGGUGGAGGUGGCGGCGGAGGGUGUUGAGAAGACGGUGGAGGCUUCUGAUAUAUAGUUGGCGGUAUUUUGUUGGAUUGUAUUUACUUAGUUGACAUGCCACUUUAAUUAUACCUCUUUAUCUUAUGUGAAAUAAAUCGUGUAGUACUUCUAUUCAAAUUCAUGUUAUACUAUCAUAUUUUUAUAAGUUUCUAAAUUUGGAUAGUGAAUAUAUGCUUUAGUAUGUUGUAUUUUUUGAAUAAAAUUUGUGUUUUGCCAUUUGAUUAGAUUAAAAUUGAAUUCAAAUAUCUGCUUUUAGCAAAAUGAUGGUGGGUUGGUAGGGCCACACAAAUCAGUAUGCAAGAUUUGUAGUGGUUUAAGUGCUCUUGAUGCCAUUAUGAUAUCAAGUAGUACAAAGGAUUAUUUGUAGGUACAUUAGGAGAACUCUAGAAUUAUUUCUAGGAUUUUCCUAAUUAUAAUUCACUUCUAGAUAAUUUCCACAUAUAUAUUUUUUAAUUAAAACAUAUAAUUUUUCCCUAAUUUUUCCUUUUAGAUUUCCCUUAUAAUUUUUACUGAAUAUAAUUAUUUGAGAAAAUUAUAUUGACCUCCCUUAAAUUUUUCUUAAAUAACACAUACAUCUACUCUAGUUUUUAAAAAAACAUAAUAACCUUCCUUCAUUUUAACAAUGUCAAACUUCUCUUGGAUAGGGAAAUGAUGAGAAAAGUUAUAUUUUACCAUUUUUGUAACUAUAUAUAUGUCUAAGGAUUCUCAAGAUCUGAACCAAAUAAAAUUCAAAAAGAAAACCAAAUUUAGUUUCGUAGCUGAUGCAAAUUGCAAAAGGUCAUAGCAUCAAAUAUAUAUAUUAACAAAAUUCAUUUUGAAAAAUUGUCAAACUCUUGUUUCUGCGUUGUGCUUUUCUCGGUUCUAUGAGGUGCUUCGUGCACAAACAAUGUAUAGCAGAUUGUGUCAUCUUCUAGCAUGGUUGUUCUUGCAUUGUGUAUUUAAUAGUUAGAUUUUAUUUAAAAUAUAAUAAAAUUUGAAACCCUAUUCGAAUAGAAUAUUUACAGAAUCCAUAAAAUAAACUAAUUUGAAAUUUAAGAGCAAAAACUAUUCCAAUUUUUUUUGAUAAUUUAUUAUUAAUUUUUUUUUUGUUAUUAUAAGAAAUUGGCAAUCGACAAGUUUGUGGUAAAACCAUAAAUGAUUCAAUGUCAUAUGCAACAACAUAAUUAACAAACGUAACAUCAUUAGCGAUCUAACUAUAAAUAAAAAAUAUAUAAUUAGCAGAAUCAAGCAAACAAUGUCGCUAGUAUAAAUCCAACAACAUUGAACAAAUCUCAAAAUAAAUCCCCCAUCAUACAAAAAACCAACCAACAUUCAAAGAAAUUGCAAAAUAAAUUGUCACUUUGGGUCACCUAUUAUUACUAACUAAUAUAGUAAUAUUUUUUUCUUUUGAAGAGCCCACAUGCCAACCUACUUGCCCCAUUUUUACGACAAGCUAAACGGGGUGGAUCUAUUUUGCCACCCCUAUUAACAUUAUAGGCGGGGGUUAUUUAUCAGAAGAAAAGAGAGGAACUUAGACUGCAAUGACGAAAGAUAAAAAUGCUUAAUAAUAAGGUAAAAGAGUUCAUAGUAGUCUGAGUGAAAGUGAGGAAAGUUAAAAGAAACAAUGUGUGUCAUUUUUCCUUUUUUGUGUGUGAAAAAAGUGAAAAAAAAUUGUUCUACAUUACAUAUUUUUUUAAAUAAAAAUGAUAAUAUUGAAAUAGGGGUUUGGCCGGCCCCACAUAGCCCAUUAAUUUUUGGGUUGAACUCAAUUUUUACAUGAAAGCUGCUCAAUAGGUCAACAAAAUGCUCACAUCACAUGCCCCUCGAAAUUCCAAAAAAAAAAAAAAAAAAAACUCUCAGGUUCUAACUUCCAAUCGCUCUAGUUUAAGAGGUAAGACUCGAUCUCCAUCAAUUCCAUUUAACCUUGGAUUGAAAGUUACGACCUGAGAUCAGAUCGGGAGUUAGGAUUUGAUCCAUUCAUGCUUUAGACUUAGACAUAAUUUACACUACCAAACACAUAAUUCAUCAACCAUUCAUAUUUUCAAGAACAAUUAACAACACUCAUAAUCGAACAAUAAUUUCUAACAAUCAUAAUUCAACAAUACACAAAAACUUACAAUUCAACAACGAUAAAUCAACAUUAAUAUGAUUUAGAAACAAGAUGUUCAACCAUAACUAUAAAUAAAGCAUAAAACAAAAUUAAAAACAAAAUUAUAAUUUAGAAACAUCAAAAUAUUACAUUGAAAUUGAAGGAAUCAAUGUGCUAAAUAGUUUUGGAGUUCAGACCCGAUACAGGUUCAAGUCUUAACUCUUGAUAAAUAACAAUUCAGGUUUAAAAAAAAAAAUACAAAACAAGAAUGUAAUCAAUUUAAAAGAUGUAAUUCGUAUUCUUUGACGCCGGAUGAGUGAAGAAAUCAUUUAGCAAUUAUGUAAUGAUGAUUAGAGUCUAGGGAGGUUGUGUAGUACAUGCUUGGUUGCUUGAUAUAUAACUAGAAGCAAUUUGGGUCAUAACCUCAAAACUUGAGCGAGCGGGAGUUAUUAUAACCAAGAGAUCAUAUUGUAACUUCCAAAACAGGUAAUUUUUUGGGUUUUGAGGGGUGUAUGAGCAAAUAAAGGGGCCUAUUGAGCAAUUUUUUACAUCCCUUAUAAGAAGUAAUUGGUCCAUUCCAUCCCAUUUAUAUGUGUGCUAGGGCUAGGCCGAGUUAGCCCAAUAGCAACUCUCGGGGUGUGAGAGUGUUAUUUAAAAAGACAAUGGAGGAGAUUAAUUUAUUUUUCUCAAAAACAAUUAAGACUUAAAUAUGCAAAUGAUCUUUGCAAAUUUCAAGCUUUUUGGUUUUAGUCUUGUAUUUUUUUUUCCUUCAAUCCUGCAUAUAUAUAUAUAUAUAUAUAUAUAUAUAUAUGAUCUUUUGUUUUGGUUUUUGGAGUUUUUUAUUAGUCUCUGUAGAAUUUAUUCAUAUUAAAAUUGAUACAUAUAAUAUUCAUUUUAGUCCUUAUUUUUAAGGGAUUAAAAUCAAAUAUUUUACAUAUUACAAUGACCAAAUCCAAUAUAAAUCAAUUUUGCAAGGACUAGCUCUAAAAAUAUAUUUUUACUGGACUAUUUGCAUAUUUAAGUCAACAAUUAAACUUCUAUUUUUGCUUUAACCCUCUAGUUUCCGGGGGAAAGGGGCCCUAUAAUCAAAUUCAAGUUCUUCAGCCGAACAAACUUGGGUUUAAUUAUUUCAUCUAAGAAUCAAACUCGAGUUCUCCAGAACGAUUAGUCAUUGAAGAAACUCACUAACCGCUUGAGCUCAAUUGCUUGGUUAAAAACUUAUUAUUUUUUAAUCAACAACUAAACAUGAUUCCCCCUUUGCAAAAAAAAAAAAAAAAAAAGAAUUUACUUCCCCUCUCAAAAAACUAAAUUUAUUUUCGGAGAUAAUAGUCAUUUUUAUCUCUGAAUGUAUAACGAGUAGUCAUAAUAGUUCGUCAAUGUAUAAAAAAAGUCAUAUUUAAGCCAACCACCUCGCCCAAUCAUCACUUGUCACAUGGUCAUCACGUCGCUAAUGACAUCCCACCUUAGCAAAAAAAACCUAAUUAGGACCAAAAGUCAAAUGAUUAAUAUUUGCAGUGGCAGAUUGGAAGAAUUAGUAAAUUCAUGACGAUAAUUCAAAUAACAUAUAUUUGCAGGGAGACGAAAGAGAUAUUUAAGCCAAAUGACCAUUACCCUUUAAUUUAGUAAACAAAAGAAAGAAAAAAAACCAAAUAUAAUUGUUUUGGAUUUAAAUUGUGAAUAAAUUCAAACCAAUCAAACUCUUCCCAAAAUCUAUGAGUCAAGAACUACGGUGGUUACAUUUUCAUAAUCACGAGAAUUCUCAUUGACAAAAAUUGACCUGGUAAGGAUAACUUUUUUUCAUUACUUUCAAUAUGCUCCGAAAAAUUUGUUAAGAGAAUCAUGCAAUGAUCCACCUUUUAUGCCGAACCUUUUGCUUUAUUUCACAUUUAUAUUUAUCUUCAACAAUUUUACUAUGCAACAUUUAUAGCAAAAUUAUCUCAAGAAGGGUGUGUAUUAUUUGUUCAAAGUAAAUUAUUUUCAUUCUUGUUUUUUAUCUUUAGAUUAAUUAUUGUUUUUUGUAUCUUGAUUUGAAAUUUAUGUAGGAGAAGAUGGAAAAAGAAAAUAUACAUGGUCCUCAACAUUUUGAUCUGAAUACUGGUGCAAAUAUACCAUCAGUUGGUCUUGGAACAUGGAAAGCUUCUCCUGGUGUUGUUGGUGAUGCUGUUGUUGCUGCAGUCAAGGUGCUUUCUCUGCUUUUUGUUUCUUAAUUUCUUGGUUUCUUUAUAUGAAGCACAUAUACGGACACUGAUACGCCGACACCGCUAAUAAUUUGAGAAAAUCACAUAUUUCAGUGUAAUUACAUGUUUCAGUGUCAGACACGCACGUGUCCAACACAGGGACACGUUUAAUCGGAGGAGUGUCUGUGACUCUGUGUUUCAUACAUUUCUUUUGAAUUUGUUGUGUUAAUCUAUGAAACAUUGACGCAGACACGCGGAUGCUGUUAAUAAUUUAAUAAACUAAAGUAUUCAAAUGUAACUACAUGUGCUGUUGUAUCGGUGCAUUGACACAUGUUGGACAUCAGUCACGUCUUCAAUCUGAAGUAUCAGUGCUAUGCUAGGUGCUAAUUUGUGUUUUGAAUGUAUUGUCUCAAUGCUUUGUUCAGGCUGGCUACAGACAUAUCGAUUGUGCUCGGGUAUAUGAUAAUGAAAAAGAGGUAACCAAAAUUAUAAAGUUUAUUUGAAAUAAAUAGUUUUGUAUACUAAUAUUCUAGGUGGUCAAGAAAAAAUUGUUUUUAUUGUUCUGGUUUUCUUGAUGCUAGGAAAAAUGUAUUUGCUGCAGAUAGGCGAGGCGUUGAAGACACUGUUUUCUGCUGGGGUUGUACAGCGUGGUGAAAUGUUCAUCACAUCAAAGCUAUGGUAUGUGUUUGGACUAAUAAUUCUUAUUAUGAUAAAAGAUAAUUGACCUUUUUUUUUCUUCUUUCUGAAUCAAGCUUUUGAUGUAUAUGAGAGUGUGUGAUAUGUAGUAUUUCAUUUAUUAGUUGAUUAUAAAAUAUGAGUAUGUAGAAGAGGAUGAAAAGUGGAUCUGAAGAUUAGGGUGUUGCCAGAUUGAGCCUUCUGUAAACGAAUUAGUUGCUAAAAACUAUACAAUGGUCACCAAAUUCCUCCAGGAAAAGGAAUAAAUUGGUGAUAUAAAAGGACUAGUUUGUUGACAAUUUUAUGUAUACUGGGACUAAGGGGUCAUGGCUCAAAUAUUUAGAAGACACAUAUGAUGACAUUAUAACAUUGAGGGACUGAUUUUGCUACAAAACUCCACAUAUGAUGACAUUAUAACAUUGUAAUGAAUUGUCUUCAUAUAUGGCUUGCCUUUUUUUAAUUUAUCCAUACAGGAUUAGUGACUGUGCACCUGAAGAUGUCUCGAAGGCACUGGCUAGGACUCUAGAAGACCUGCAGCUUGACUACAUCGAUUUAUAUCUGGUACGGUUCUUGAUUUUAAACCCGUUUUCAAUCCUGAUGCAGAGACUGAAGAUGGUUGUAUGAAAAAUUGAUGUUUUCUUGGUAAAUUAUUUUGUCACAGAUACACUGGCCGUUUAGGACGAAGUCGGGAUCAAGGGGUUGGGACCCUGAGGUCAUGGUUCCCUUAUGUCUUUCAGAGACAUGGAAUGCAAUGGAAGGUUUAUUCGCCUCAGGUCAAGCACGUGCGAUUGGUGUCAGCAACUUUUCAACUAAGAAGCUUCAAGACUUACUCGGAUAUGCUAAGAUUCCGCCAGCAGUUAACCAAGUUGAAUGCCAUCCUGUUUGGCAACAACCAGCUCUUCAUAAUUUGUGCAAUUCUACUGGUGUUCAUCUCACGGUAAUACCCUGACUAAGAUUGAUAUAGUAUAGUCCGAACGAGUUUUGGUCUUUAAUAGAUCAAAUUUUAAUAACAGUUGAUAUAGUAUACAGAAUUUAAUCUGUAUGCAUCAUAAGUGAAAAAAUAUUUAUUACAUUUAUUGAGUAUUGUCAUUACAAAAACUCAUUAAAUGACAUGACAACAUACCAUUGAAUACAUGUAUAAAUUGAAUUCUAUUCAGUGCUGCAAAUAGCACUAUAGGCAUAGGAGGAUUUAAACAAAUUGCUAUUGUUCUGUAAUAUGCUAGUUCUUACAAAGUGUUGUCAAAUAAUAGUUAUAGCAGUACUAUCUAUAGCACUGUAGCAUAGUGGCAACCCUUUAUUUUUCUUAAUCUGCGAUUGAGAAUACUGAUUCUGUUGUAAUAUUUUAUAUGAAUUUUGAUAGAGUUUGUCUAUCAUAACCAAAACUUAUCUAGACCAUACUAUACAUGUCCAUCUGAGUAAUUUAAAUGAUAUUUUUUGGUCCUGCAUUUAUGUAUUUGAGGUUCUUUUUUGCUUACAUUUUGUUAACAACAAAUGCUUCCUUAUAGGCAUAUUCUCCUCUCGGUUCUCCAGGAUCAUGGGUUAAGGGAGAAAUCUUGAAGGAACCAAUUUUGAUUGAAAUUGCUGAAAAACUUAACAAGUCUCCGGCACAAGUGGCUCUAAGGUGGGGUAUCCAAAGUGGUCACAGUGUCCUUCCAAAGAGUGUAAAUGAAUCUAGGAUCAAAGAGAAUCUUAGCUUAUUUGAUUGGUGUAUCCCUCCAGAACUCUUCUCAAAAUUCUCACAGAUUCACCAGGUUUGAUCAUUGCCUUUGUUGAAACUUGAAAACAUAAAAACUAAUCAUUCUUUCCCACAUCUAUGCAUAAUUUUUUUAUUCUUCUUCAGUUUAAUCAUUUAUUUUGUUGUAUAAUGCAGCAAAGGCUACUUAGAGGGGACUUUGCAGUCCAUGAAAGUUGUAGUCCAUACAAAAGUCUUGAAGAUUUGUGGGAUGGAGAAAUAUGAAAUGGAGAUAAUUUGCAUUGCUAUUUUGACUAAAGAUAUGUUCAUUUCUCUUCGUGAGGGAUUUAUGUGAAUACUGAAUAGGUAGAUAUAUUAGCCGAAGAAAACAUUUAUAAUUUCGUUAUGAUGAGGCCUUCAUUUAAGAUAGUUUCUCAAUCCGCCCCCACAUAUGCUCAAAUAUGCCAAAAUACACUACCGGAAACAUGCUUCCUGUAAGCCCUGGCGUUUUUGGGUGGACGGAUUGAGAAAUUAUGUUCGUUUAAUCAUUUUCCUUUAAUCCAUGAAUUUGUUGUUUCAUCGGAAGAAAAGCGGAUAGAAAACAACUGAUCAAUAAACUAGAGAUAACUGAGAAAUAACAGAUUUUUUUUACAACAUACUUAAUACCAUUGAACAAAUUCUAUUAGUAUUUUUUUUCUUUUGAAAAGCUUCCAAGAUCCAAUGUGAAGAGAACUUUUCCAAUGACCAUUUUUUGAAGUUGCCAUGUAUUUUCACCAGAGUAUGAUUUGGGUUUGGUUUGAAUUCUUACCAAACAUUCUAGAAGUAUAACAUGGGAGUUGGCAACUAUUGUUUCAGCAGUAAUAUAUGGUUAGUAUACUUUUGUGAAAAUAUUUCAUAUUUUUUCCCCCUAAAAUUUAUGUUGGUUUUACAUUUUUUUUUUUGGGUAGAAGUUAGUGUUUUUCUUUAUCAAAGAGAAAAUAAAUUUGACGAUGGACGUAUUGGACAACCAUUUUUUAAAAAUGCAAGAACAAAAUGUUUGGGGAUUAAGCAGAGACAUAUGAUAUGGUAUUUGGGUUAAGUGGUGGCCUACCUCUAAUUGGGAAAAAAGCCUUUGAAAUACCGACUUCAUGAUUUGUCAACUCAAUUACAACCCUAUUGUAACAAGUUGCAACAGUGUGAUUCAUGUCCGGUACUGUCAACCACUUAUCUCAUAUGCAAUUCCAUUACUAUUUUCGGGAGGGUACACAACAUUCAAGAUAUAGUUAAAAUGCUCCUUACUCCCAAAUACCCACAUGUAGUCACUCCUAUGAUCUUUCACCUCUUGUAUAAGUGCUAUGCGAAUCACAGUCAAAUCCAUAAGCAUAGCCUGAAAUCCAGAAUCGUAUCGUUUGUAACAUCCAAUUUUUUUCUUCAGUAAAUGGUUUCAUGAAUUUUCGCAUAUGAUCAAUAGGCGUUGGAACCAGAAUAAGCUUUAGAACUCGAGUAGAAAAUGAAACUGGAGAACAUGAUGGAUUGUCAAUACGAGCACCUUUUCUUUUAGGAAAUGAUGACUUUGUUGAUGACGAUUGACUAUCGGGAAAUCGAGAAUCAACACGCUCCCACAAAGAUGAGAUUCGACUAGUCAAAGCCUCUUUUCGUGUAGAUCUCACUCUUUCCUUGGCCCCCUUGGUUGGUACCUUUCUUGUAGAAGGAGUAAACAUUGUCAUUUCUGGAAAUGCUAAUUGCUGCAUAACCUCCUUGAUUUGUAGUUUCAUUUUGUAAUGGACUUUUUGAGAUGUUCCUCAAUACCAUUCCACUCAUCCAUCACAGAAAGAUCAUCUUCACCUUCCUCUUUACCCAUACAUAACCUUUGCUAGUGAGAGUUCAUAUCAUCCAAUCAAAUAGGCUUGUUGUGUCUGAUCUUCAUAACAAUAAUACAUGCACAAGGUAGCUCAUACGAUGUCUCGAUCACACAACCACACUUUUCUUUAUCCAUUCCAGUUUUCUUGGAGCAUUUUGCUUCCUCAAAAAUAAAGCUCAAGCCAGCUCUAGAAACAUAACCCUCCAACUCAUAGUACAAUAUGUUGUCUUUGUAUAUAUGUUCUAUGACAAUACAACUCCUCCCGAAGGAUGCUUGUAUCUCAGUUAAUUCCCCAUCCAACAUAUCGCGUAUUACCUCCCAACAUGUAGCUAAAAUAUUUCUUCAAUUUUUCACGAGCACCUUCAACUCUGUUGGUGGUUCUAUAGUCAAGAUGCAAGGCACGGUAUGUCCAUGCAAUCACUAGUUUUUUUUUUCUUUAACAAUAUUCUAUAUGGUAGUUUCAACAUAGGUAAGGAACCUUGAAAUUUUUUUACAAACAUCUACAGACUACACAACAACAUCAACAUUUGAUUCUUUUGAAGGAGACUCAACCGCAUUAUCCGAAGCUCUCAUGAUAUUGUUAACUAUCCCACCUGCCUUCACUUUAUUGACUUCCUUUUCUUUCUCAUCCACAUUCGCAACUUCAAGUUUGACUAUGCACUCUAUGAUGGAUUGAUCGUGCACCCUAUUUCACAACCUUAUCUUCAUAUGCAAUUCCAUUACUAUUUUUGAGAGGGUACACACCAUUCAAGAUAUAGUUAAAAUUCUCCUUACUCCUAAAUACACACAUGUAGUCACUCCUAUGAUCUUUCACCUCUUGUAUAAGUCAGUCAAACCCAUAAGCUUAGCUAUAGCUUGAAAUCAAGAAUUCGUAUCGCCUGUAGCAUCUAAAAUAAAAAAUAAAAAAUCAGUAAACGGUUUCAUGAAUUUUGACAUAUGAUCGAUAGGCGUUGUAACCAGAAUAGGAUUAAGAACACGAGUAGACAAUGAAACUGGAGAACAUGAUGGAUUGUUAAUACAGACACCUUUUCUUUUAGGAAAUGAUGACUUUGUUGGACGAUUGACUAUUGGGAAAUUGAGAAUCAACACACUCCCACAAAGAUGAGAUUCAACUAGUCAAAGCCUUUUUUGGUGUAGAUCUCACUAUUUUCUUGGCCCCCUUGGUUGGUACCUUUCUUACAGGUGGAGUAAACAUUGUCCUUUCUAGAAAUGCUAAUUGCCGCAUAACCUUCUUGAUUUGUAUUUUCAUUUUGUAAGGGACUUUUUGAGAUGUUCCUCAAUACCAUUCCACUCAUCCAUCACAAAAAAAAAAANCCGCAUAACCUUCUUGAUUUGUAUUUUCAUUUUGUAAGGGACUUUUUGAGAUGUUCCUCAAUACCAUUCCACUCAUCCAUCACAAAAAAAAAAAAAAAAAAAUCAUCUUUUGAGAUGUUCCUCAAUACCAUUCCACUCAUCCAUCACAAAAAUAUCAUCUUCACAUUCUUCUUCACCCAUACAUAACCUUUGCUAGUGAUGGUUUAUAUCAUCCAAUCGAAGAGGCUUGUUGUGUCUGAUCUUCAUAACAAUAAUACAUGCACAAGGUAGCCCAUACGAUGUCCUAAUCAAGUUAGCUCUAGAAACAUAACCCUCCAACUUAUAGUACAAUAUGUUGUCUUUGUAUCUAUUUUCUAAGACAAUACAACUCCUCCCAAAGGAUUCUCUUAUCUCAGUUAACUCCCCCUCCAACAUAUCGUGUAUUACCUCCCAACAUGUAGCAAAAUCUCUUGCUCCAUUACUCAAAUAUUUCUUCAAUUUUUCAUUAGCACCUUCAACUCUGAUGUUGGUUAUAUAACCAAGACGCAUGACAUUUUUACAGACAUCUCGAAACUACACAACAACAUCAACAUAUGAUUCUUUUGAAGGAGACUCAACCACAUUAUCCGAAGCUCUCAUGAUAUUGUUAACUAUCCCACUUGCCUUUACCUCAUUGACUUCCUUUUCUUACUCAUCCACUUUUGCAACCUUGUGUUUGACCAUGCACUCUCUGACGGAUUCACCUCUAACAUUUUUACCAACAUGAAAAUUACAAAUUAAUGGAGUAGUUUUAGUGAAAAUAGUUGCAACAACAUUCAUCAAAGAGGUAUCCAUGUGAGUCACAAUUACCGUUACAUAUCUUCCUUUGGCUUAAGAAGAUGAAGCAACGCCUGUAAAACUCAAGUGAAGUUAUCUUCUUUCUUAGACGUCAGAAAAGCAAAAGCAACAUAAUAUAUAUUAUAUCGGUUCAGGAGACCCCUACUAUCUCAAACAAUGAGAUUAUAUAGGUUGAGUCCAUGAUCAAAAUAGUCGAAAAAUUGUUAAGCAUCUUAAUAGAUUCAGGAUGAGCCCGAAAUAUCUCCUAAACAGUAAUAGCCUCACAUUUUGUUAUGGUGAAAUAAACAUAUUUGUGCUCCUCAAACUUUGCGACCAAUGUUGAAUCAUUGCCAACUGAGCUAAGCUCUCGGAGAGAAAUUUAAAUCAUUUUUUUUUGGGUCAAAUAGCCUAGUGGCUAGAUUUACACACAUUAUGUGUGGAGAAGUGGGGAAUCGGGGUUUGAACCCCAACCCCUGCACAAAUUAUCCUUGAUAGCUAUCAACUGAGCUACACUUAGCAUAUGAAAUGAAUAAUAUAUUUAAUUCAUUAAAUGCUAAGCAUGACAUUAAUAAUCAUCACAAACUCAAAAGCACUAGCGAGGAUUGGACCCAAUUUUUUUAUUUAUUUUUGGUCGGGGUUUGAACCCCGGACUUUGCAUAUUUUAUGCAUUGUUCAUACCAACUGAGUUAAACUCACGAGGACCAAAACUUUUAUUUAUAACAUCACAAAAAUAUUAUACAUCUUCCUAAAAAAAAAAAUUAUUAUACAUCUUAUUUAAUUUUUUUCUUUCAAACUAAUAUGAAUAUUUAGAAUCUUAAAAUAGGCUGACCAUUUUUUUAAGACCUCAUCGUUAGAUAUCAUUAAAAUAUUUGAUUUUAUGAAAUUAUUAGUUGAGUUUUUUAAAUAGUGAUAAAAUAAGAGUAUUUUAAAAUAUUUGUUUGGUCCUUUAAAAAAAAGGAGUAUUUUAGUACAAAUAUAUAUUAAUUAAAUUAUUCUUAAAAAAUACACUAAUCUUUAGUCAAUUCUUAAAAAAAAAAACUAAUCUUUAGUCAAACUUAGCAGUUUUAAUAUAUAUAUAUAUAUAUUUUCUUUUAAAAAAUUAUCGCAUUUAAACUUGCAACAUAUAUAUAUAUAUAUAUAUAUAUAUAUAUAUAUAUAUAUAUAUAUAUAUAUAUAUAUAUUUGUGGUUGNNNNNNNNNNNNNNNNNNNNNNNNNNNNNNNNNNNNNNNNNNNNNNNNNNNNNNNNNNNNNNNNNNNNNNNNNNNNNNNNNNNNNNNNNNNNNNNNNNNNGGAUCCGAGGUUCACUUCUAGGUUCUGGAAGAGUUUACAGGACGCUUUGGGUUCGAAGUUGAGACUGAGUUCGGCUUAUCAUCCUCAGACAGAUGGUCAGUCGGAGAGGACGAUCCAAUCAUUGGAAGACUUGUUGAGAGUGUGUGUUCUUGAACAGGGUGGAGCUUGGGAUAGUCACCUACCAUUGAUAGAGUUCACCUACAACAACAGUUAUCAUUCGAGUAUAGGAAUGGCACCAUUCGAAGCUUUGUAUGGUCGAAGGUGCAGAACUCCGUUGUGUUGGUUUGAGUCGGGAGAAAGUGUUGUGUUGGGACCGGAUUUGGUCCAGGAGACUACAGAAAAAGUCAAGCUGAUCAGGGAGAAGAUGAAAGCGUCACAGAGUCGACAGAAGAGUUACCAUGACAAGCGGAGAAAGGCCCUUGAGUUUCAAGAGGGUGAUCAUGUAUUUCUAAGAGUGACUCCGAUGACGGGUGUAGGACGUGCUUUGAAAUCGAGGAAGUUGACUCCGAAAUUCAUUGGUCCGUAUCAGAUUUCAGAGAGGAUCGGAACGAUGACAUAUAGAGUUGGCUUGCCACCACAUCUAUCGAACUUGCAUGAUGUGUUUCACGUGUCACAACUUCGGAAGUAUGUAGCAGAUCCUUCGCAUGUUAUUCCGAGAGAUGAUGUGCAGGUUAGGGACAAUCUCACAGUUGAGACCUUGCCGUUGAGGAUCGAUGAUCGGAAAGUAAAGGCAUUGAGGGGCAAGGAAACACCCUUGGUGAGAAUCGUUUGGGGCGGAGCAACUGGUGAAAGUUUGACUUGGGAGCUGGAAAGUAAGAUGAGGGACUCUUAUCCUGAGUUGUUUGUUUGAGGUAAGAUUUCGAGGACGAAAUUCAGUAAUUUGGGGAGAGUUGUAACACUCUAACUUUUAUUUAAUUAUUUUUAAGUGUGUGGUGUUAUUUAUUUGGUUUGGUGAGUUAUGUGGUGUGUAUAUAUAUAUAUAUAUAUAUUAUAUGAUUAUUUUAUUAAAUAAUAAGAAUAAGUGGAAAAUAUGAUUAAUUAGAAUUUGGGGGUUAUGAAAUAAUUAGUAUAGUUAGUGGGAGUUAAUUGCUAAUUAAGGGAGUUACACUUUGGAAAUUAAGGAAAGAAAAACAGAGAAAAACGUUUUACGUGAAAACAGUCAAGUUUUGGGGAGAAAAGCUAGUGCAAGGGAGAGGAGCUUAUGAACCAUUUUCUGCUGUGUUUAUUCUGCAAUUCUAAGGUAAGGGUGAGGUUUACCGCAAUCUUAUAGGUUCUGAAUUCUGAUUUUGUUCUAACAGGUUUAUGUGAGAAUUGGGAGAAGUUAGGUUUUUGUUGAUUAAUGGGUUCUGAGUGUAGGAAUCGUUGAAUUGGGGUUAGAAAUGGGUUCUGAGUGCAUAAAACCUUUCAUUGCAUAUCUGUAAACUAAUUUGGGGAGUGAAUUGAGGAAAAAUGGGAUUUUUUGGGAAAAACCUGCAUUCUGCCCGUACAGAAGUUCAUCGCUCGCCUCGCGAGUAGCCAUUGCUCGCCAUAGCGAGUGAACAACUUCAUCGCUCGCCUCGCGAGUGAUACAACUCGCCAUGGCGAGUAGCCUUGUGAAAAUCUGGAUUUUUAAAGUGUUGUUAUAAGCCAUAACUUGGGUAGUACUAUGUACCUAGAUGAUUAUCAGGAUGACUGGAGCAAGUUUUAGGUUAAAAAAAAUAAAUAGGGAGCUUAGAAUGGUUGAUUUAGUGAGAAAAAUGUCAUUUUUCCCGAGAGUAUCAUAUUUCUGUUCGCCUCGAGUUCGCCUCCAACUCGCCAUGGCGAGUACUUGAUUUUCUGAGCUCGCCAUAGCGAGCAGAUGUGCUCGCGAGGCGAGCUGUCCAGUAUUUUGUUGGUUGAUUUCUGUUGUUGUUUUGGAUGGUUUAUUUCGUUGAAUUAUUGCAUGGUUUGUAUGCUGAUAUAUCUUUCCCUGGAUGUCCUGGUUGGUUGUGAUGAUUAGAUGUGGACUGAAUGUAUGUCUUAUUUAAUUAAAAUUCCCUUAAUGUUGUAAGUUGGAUGGUGAAUCAUAUAUAUAUGUAUAUGUUUAGGUUGGUUGGUAUGUGGAUAUACUCAAGGGGAUUAGUUGCAUAAACAUAAAAGUGAGAGAGCUUCGGCUCUGGAAUGCUUAGUCGUUCAAAGUGGUGGAGUACUAGUUACUCAAAGUGGUGUAGUGGUGAGGACUUAUGUCCUGAUGAGAAUGCUUUAACCAUUCGACAGCGGUGUGGGUCACGGCCCUGAUUUUUGGUACCACAUGCAUGGGUGUUUAGAGGAGUCUUAGUGGAGUGGUGAUAAGUUGCAUUUGUUGUUGAGAGGUUUAUGAAUUAAUAUUGUUGAUAAGAUGCGAAAAAUGAUGUUGUGUAAAUCAUAAUGUGGAUGAAUUAUAUGAUAGGGUGAUAGAUUCAAUUGAUGUAUUCUUUACCUAUAUUUUGUUGUGAAUCUCACCCCUUCUGCUUGAAAAUGUUGCCCUUCCUAUGGGUAACUUGCAGGUGAUCCUGAGUAGUUGGCGGUGGCUCAAUGUGUCUAGGACUCUGAUGCGUGGGAUGGGAUUUAUAGUUUAAAUUUCUACCUAUGUAUCAAAUUUUGGAACAAGUUAAUGUAGUCCAUGUUUAUUGUUGAAUUUUUAUGUUGAGGCCUAGUGCCAAGAUUAAUGUUGGAUAAUGGAGUUAAUUUUGAAGAAUAUUCCGCUGCAGUUUAAUGAAGUUUUAUGUUGGAUGUUGUUAAAUAGUUUUAAUCUAUUUAAGAAUUUACGUUUAGUAGUGUGACAUGCCGUUUGGUGUUGAACUCUGAUUUUAUAAUUAUAAUUAAAUUGAAUUUGGGAAACGGGGUGUUACAAUUGUGAUGCGUCCAAGUUGGGUUUAGGAGGUGUGCUUAUGCAAGAAGGUAAAGUGGUAGCUUAUGCUUCGAGACAGUUGAGAGUUCAUGAGAAGAAUUAUCCUACGCAUGAUCUUGAGUUGGCGGCUGUAGUCUUUGUAUUGAAGAUAUGGAGACAUUACCUGUAUGGUUCGAGAUUUGGGGUGUUUAGUGAUCACAAGAGUUUGAAAUAUUUGUUCGAUCAGAAGGAAUUGAACAUGAGGCAGCGUAGAUGGCUAGAGUUGCUGAAAGAUUAUGACUUUGGUUUGAAUCAUCAUCCGGGUAAAGCUAAUGAUGUUGCAGAUGCCUUGAGUAGGAAGACAUUGCAUAUGUCCGCCAUGAUGGUCAGAGAGUUCGAGUUACUUGAACAGUUCAGAGAUAUGAGUUUGGUUUGCGAAUGGUCACCUCAGAGUGUGAAACUGGGUAUGCUGAAGAUUGAUAGUGAAUUUCUGAAAAGUAUCAAGGAAGCACAGAAAGUAGAUGUGAAGUUUGUGGACUCGUCGGUUGCUAGAGAUCAGACUGAAGAUAGUGAUUUUAGAACCGAUGAUCAAGGUGUGUUGAGAUUCCGAGGAAGAAUAUGCAUUCCAGACAAUGAAGAGAUUAAGAAGAUGAUUCUUGAAGAGAGUCAUAGAAGUAGCUUGAGUAUUCACCCGGGAGCUACGAAGAUGUAUCAUGAUUUAAAGAAGAUUUUCUAGUGGUCUGGUUUGAAACGAGAUGUGGCGCAGUUUGUGUAUUCCUGUUUAGUUUGUCAGAAAUCGAAAGUCAAACAUCAGAAACCCGCUGGGAUGAUGGUACCUUUAGAUGUGCCAGAAUGGAAAUGGGAUAGUAUAUCGAUGGAUUUUGUGACGAGUUUGCCGAAUACUACGAGAGGGAACGACGCAAUUUGGGUUAUUGUUGAUAGAUUGACGAAGUCAGCUCAUUUUCUACCUAUUAAUAUUAGUUUCCCUGUUGCCAAAUUGGCAGAGAUUUACAUCAAGGAGAUUGUGAAGCUGCAUGGUGUUCCUUCGAGCAUUGUAUCAGAUAGAGAUCCAAGAUUUACUUCUAGAUUUUGGAAAAGUUUGCAAGAGGCCUUGGGGUCGAAGUUGAGAUUGAGUUCUGAUGAGUCAUUUAUUAUCUAUUUUAAUAUGUUAUUUAGUUUAGUUUUAUUUAGAUUUAGGUUUAUUUUAUAUUAAUAUUAUUUCCUUUCUUGAACUAUUUUACUACAAUUGCAUAUUGUUAUAUUUUAGGAACGAAUAUUUGAUUGAUUGAGUCUUGGAGCAAAAGAAAGGGAUUUGGAGUUGAUUCGGUACGAAAAUACGAAGAUUUGGAGACAAAAUAUAUCUCCCCCAAAAGUCAGAAGCUUGGCACGGCCCGUGCUAGGAUUGGCACGGCCGUGCCACCCUCCAGAAGACCUUUUGCUGCUUUUGCUUGGACUCCAAGCUAUUCUAUUUUGGCGCACAAUCUACCGAGGAAUAUUCUUGGAAUAUACUUGCUUAGAUUUUAAGUCAAUUGUGUACUAUAAAUAGAGUAGCUAGCCAUCACAAAUAUUCAUCUUUUCUUGGAAUACAAUAUGUGAUAAUUGUCUUUCUAAUAAAAGUUCAUUUUACUUUCUUUGUUAUUUACUUUUAUGUUUUCUCUCUUCUUCUCCUUGUCUACAAUGAACGUCAGUGAGUAGACUUCUCUUGUCUUGGGAUUGUUGGAUAAGUCUAAUGACAUAAUCCUAAUCAAACCAAGCUUUAAACCUUAAUCUUAUGUAACCCUAAUUCCUUAUCUAAAUUCACCGCUUUAACAUGGAUCAACCAUUAUCAAAAUGUGGAAACGAAAGUGGAGGGUUUGAUAAUUGUUUAUCCAUCAUCUCAAAUAUCAAUUCAUAAAACGAAAGUGGAGCUUUGAUAUUCGAACAAGUGAAUUUAGACAAGGAUUGCAAAGUCAGCGAAAUAGGCUUUGCAAUCUUUGAGACAUAUAGUUUCGAUCUUCAAGGGAACUAAUAACAAUCAAGUCAGCGAAAUAGGCUUGGUUGUUAGAGGAACCAAAAUCUAAUAGUAAUCAAGUCAGCGAAAUAGACUUGGUUGCUAGAGGAACAAAAGAGAAACUGUCUUGAGAAAUUAGGUCUAACAUAAAGUUAUAAGUUUAAUAGUUUGGUUUGUGAAGGACUUGUCAUUAGGAUGAACCAAUAAUUCCAAGGCUUUUAUCUUUUAUUUAUUAUUUACUUUUAAUUGAAAAACCCAAAACAUUUCUACCUUAUAAAACCUUCAUCUAAUCAUCAUUAAAAGUUAAUUGAAUUCAUAACUCCCUGUCGGAACGAUACUCUUAUUUUACUACUUCGGUAAGACCGUGCACUUGCGGUUUUAUCUCAUCAAGUUUUUGGCGCCGCUGCCGGGGAGUUAUUGUAAUUUUAUUAACUUUUCAAUAGUGUUUAGUCUAAAAAAAAAUAAAAUAAAAUAAAAAACAAAUUUAUAUAAGUAAAUAAAAUAUAUAUAUAUAUAUAUAUAAUAAAAAAAUAUUUUAUUUCUUUUUCUUAUCUUUUUUAUUUUUUAUAUAUUUAUCUAUCUCUCUCUCUAAAAAAAAAAUAUAUAUAUAUAUAUAAUAUAAAUAUAUAUAUAUAUAUAUAUAUAUAUAUAUAAAAUAGUAUAUAUACAUAUAUUUAUAAAAUAUUUUAUUUCCUUUUUCUUACCUUUUUAUUUUUUUUUGUUUUUUUUAUAUAUAUAUUUAUAAUAUAUUUUAUUUCCUUAUCUUAUUUUAUUUUUAUUAUAUAUAUAUAUAUAUAUAUCUCCCUCCCUUUCUCCUUAUUUUUUAUUUUCUAUCUUUAACCGUUUUGAUUACAGGCAUGGCUCAAAGACAAUAAUAACGACAUGGAUGAGAAACGUGCUCUCAAAGAGUAUGCAAUCACAUCUUCAGAUGAGCCGUACGAUGCUAUUGUGUACCCAACGGUUGAGGAUAGUAAAUUUGAAAUAAAGCCUGCACUUAUUUACCUAGUGCAGCAAAAUCAAUUUUUCGGAUCACCCACUGANNNNNNNNNNNNNNNNNNNNNNNNNNNNNNNNNNNNNNNNNNNNNNNNNNNNNNNNNNNNNNNNNNNNNNNNNNNNNNNNNNNNNNNNNNNNNNNNNNNNGGAUCCGAACCCCGAACCUUGCAUUUAUUAUGUAUUAUUCAUAUCAACUGAACUAAGUUCAAGAGGACACUUGCAACAUAUAUAAUAGUAGUUUAUGAAGUGUUGAUUUAGUGGUAGUUUCUUGAUUUUAUAAUUCUAAGAGAUGAAGUUCAAAUACUUUACAAGAUAAUGUUAAAAUAAUAUUAGUGUCACAAAUAUUAUUAAUAUUUUUUUUUUUAAAAAUUUAUCAUAUAUUAGUUUUUAUGUAAUUUUUCCAUUCCCUUAAAACAAUGUAUAAUUGACCCAAAAAAAAGAGCAUAAUUGACCCAUAAGUUCAAACUACAUUAAAUUAUAACAAUUUUUUUUGGUUUCAAAGCUAAUAAUAACAGAAAAGAAAACAAAGGCUAAAAGAAAAUUAAGCUCUUAGGAAGCAGGUUACCAUAGCAUCAAUUCUAAGCUUGUCUAUGAGAUCAAGAGGAGGAGUUUGGUGCUCCGUGAGGGUUGCAUUUGACGAGGCUCCGAGCUUGGCUAAAAAAUCUGCGCAAUGAUUUCCUUCUCUAAGAGUAUGAAAGAUUUCAAAGUGGUGGGAAGCUAUGAUAUCCUUGAUAUCUUGGAUUAUCACCGCAUAGACAUGGAAUUUAGAAACGUCUCCUGAAACAAGAUUUAUUGAAAGCUGAGAAUCCGAGUAGCAGACUAACUCCUCUAUUCCCAUGUUUACUGCCAUGCGAAAACCUUCCAGGAUUGCUGUCAGUUCAGCUUGGAGAAUGCAUAUUGAUGUCUGAAUAAACCCAGAAAACCCAUUGAGGUAGUGCCCUGCGCUGUUGCGAAUUAAUCCUCCAUAACCGGCGCGGAUUGGAGUGCCAAGACAGCUGCCAUCUACAUUGAGAAUGUGGCAGUUAAAUUUUCUGCUAUUCCAUGAAAUCCAGCGUUCAGGACCAGCUGUAAUGGCAGCAGAUUGAAAGCUCUUUUUGAUUAUUUCUGUUGAGUGCUGGAUGUUGAUACUCAAACGCGUGAGAGACCAGGCGUCGUUAUUGAAACACAUGUUGUUUCGGUGCAGCCAAAUCCACCAAAGAGAGGCCAGGAAGUUGAUGGACCUGCUGCUGUCAACGUUGCUCUUUAUCCACAAUUUUGCGCAGGUGAUGGAGAAGAAAUCCGAGUUUGAGAAAUUAAGCUUCUGCCAGAUGAUUUUCGAAAAUUUGCAGUCCCGAAUACAGUGCAUAAAGGAUUCAUCUUCUUCCCCGCAUCUGCUACAUGUUGCAGCCGCUACUAUGUUUCUAUGAUGAAGCACAUGAAGAGUAGGCACCGCGUCAUGCAUAGCUAGCCAAAUCAGAAAUUUGUACUUCUCCGGUACCUGCAGAGUCCAAAUCCAAGACCAAGAAAUACCAUUGUUAAUAAUGUCUGGUGAGUCCGUGAAGGAGAGAAGCCAAGAGUAGCCACUUUUUGUAGAGUAGACACCGUUCUUGUUAUUGUUCCAAAUAAAGACAUCUUCGACGGUUGGAUUGAAGGUAGCUCUAUAGGUGUUGACGGUGUCAGCUAUUGAUUGAGGAAGGGCGGUGUAUAGAGCUUGGGUGUGUUGGCCAUUUGAGCUUAUCACAUCUUUUACCGUAAGGUGAAUGUCAUGAAUAUCAAUAAUGGGGACCAAAGAACCAAGGAGACCAUGGGGAUGCCAAUUGCUGAACCAAAAAGAGGAGGAACCGGAGCCCGGCCUCCAAGAAUAACCAUUUUUGAAAAUGUCUUUUGCACGAAUGAUAGCUGCCCAGGAAGGUGAACUGUUGCCGGAAACCUUCGCUUGAAGGACGUUAGGCCCUGUUGUAUAUUUAGCAGAAAGAAGAUUCACCCAUAACUUGUUUGUAGAUUGGACCAUAUCCCAAACUAACUUUCCAAGAAGACAAAUAUUAGCAUUUCGAGCUGUUCUAAUACCCAAACCACCAUACCAUUUUGGAGUAGUAAUUUUCUUCCAACUUACCAAAUGAACACCAUUAUAAAUUGAACCAAGCCAUAUAAAAUUGCGAGUUGUUUGAUCAAUGGAGUCACAAAUGUUUUGUGGGAGCCAAUUAAUUUGCAUGUAGUAGUAAGGUAUGGAAGAUAGUACAGACGUCGCUAGAGCAAGUCGACCUGUUCUGUUGAGAAGACGGUUUUUCCAAGAAGCCAACCGAGUUUGCAUCUUUUCGAUAAUGAAUUGGAAAUCACUUCUUUUAGGGCGGCCCUUAAGCAUAGGGAAACCUAGGUACUUGCCAAGGGAAGUUGUGCUGCGAAUGCCAGAUAUGGAAGUGAGGUUGUUGAUCUUCGCUUGUGGUGUCCCUGAAGAAUAGAAAGCUCUAGACUUGGAAAUAUUAAUACGCAAACCUGAUGCCCUGCUAAAACUAUUAAACAAAUCAUUGAUGAAAUGAAAUUGUGAAUUAUUUGCCUUAGUGAAUAGCAGCACAUCAUCUGCGAAGAGAAGGUGAGAAAUCUGGGGUCCUCCAUUAGUGAUGUGAAUAGGUUCCCAUCUUCCUUGACUCACAGCAUUAUUAAUAGCAAUAGAAAGCUUCUCCAUGCAUAGUAUGAAGAGAUAAGGAGAGAGUGGGUCACCUUGUCUAAGACCAUGUGUGGGCUUGAAAGGGGGCAUUUUGUUACCGUUCCAUAAAAUUGAGAAUGUGGAGGAGGUGACGCAAUGCAUGAUGAGUUUGAUGGUAAUAUCUGGAAAACCAAAAUCCUGGAGGCAAGAAUUAAGGAAAUCCCAUCUGACAUUAUCGAAAGCUUUCUCCAAGUCUAGCUUGAAAGCAACAUAACCUUUCUUCCUCUUUGACUUCCUCAUAAAGUGAAUAAUUUCCUGCAAAACAAUUGAGUUGUCAGAAGUUCCCCUACCUGGCAGAAAACUGCUUUGGCAAGGGCCAAUAAGAUUACUGAGAAUAGGUCUGAGACGAUGCACAAGAACUUUAGUGAUAAUCUUGUAGGUUAUGUUGCAGAGACUGAUGGGUCUAAAAUCUUUGUAUGUGGUGGGGGGGUCGAUUUUAGGAAUGAGUGCAAUGAGGGUGCUUGAAAUCUCCGGAUCAAAGUAACCCGUGUGAAAGGCUGUUUGGACCAUAUGGAAGAUGUCGUCUCCAACUAUAUGCCAAUAUUGUUUGAAGAAGAUACAAUGGAAGCCGUCCGGGCCAGGGGCUUUGUAUGGUUUCAUGGAAUUGAGGGCAACAAAAACUUCAUUUUUGGUGAUAGGCUUGAUGAGAGAAUUCUUUUCAAUGUCGGUAAUGGUUGUUGGAGCUGCUUCAUGGAAGAUGGGUGCGGUUGUUGGUUGAUGGCCACCAAAAAAAAUUUUGAAGUAUUUUUGGGCUUCUUCUUGAAGGAUGGUGCUAUCAGAAGACCAUGUGCCAUUAGGGAGCUGAAGUCGAUGAAUUCUAUUUCUCUUUCUCCUUAUGAUAGUUUGAGCAUGAAAAAAUGAGCUAUUUUUGUCGCCAAAUUUAACCCAUUGUUCUCUGGAUUUUUGGUACCAAAGCAUUUCUUCUUGGAAAAGGAUGUGAUUGUAUUCCUGUUGCAAUUCCUUUUCAAGGAGAGUGUGUCGAUAUGAGUCAACUCUUUCUAGGUAGUUUUGAACACCCUUGAGUCUAUUUUCUACAUGUUUCUUCCUUUUGAAAAUGUUGCCAAAUACUUCAUGAUUAAAAAUGAUGGAUUUUUCCUGAAUUGAACUUAAGCAAACAGUGAUGUUGUUAUUCUGAGGGAUCCAAGAAUUUUUUACCAGUUCCGCAUAAUCUUUGUGAUCUAUCCAAGCUGCCUCAAAGCGGAAAGGCCUAGGCCCUCGAGCUAAAGGGAGUCCACCAAAGCGGAGGAGGAGAGGAUUAUGGUCGGAGUGGAGUCUGCAGAGAACCUCAACAAAGGCUUCAGGGAAGGAAACACGCCAGUCCACGCUAGCUAUGCAUCUAUCAAGUUUUUUGGAGAGGGUGCGAAUACCGUUGUUGUUACGAUGCCAAGUGAAAUGACCACCCGUUGUUGUGAGGUCAAGAAGGUUGCAAUUAUUCAUAAAGUUAGAGAAAAGAGCAGCUCUAUUAUGAUGAAAAAUUCCACCUCUUUGGCCGCUAGGGAGAAGCGUUUCAUUAAAGUCACCUAUGAGCAUCCAGGGGGCAUCCAUAGUUUGGCCGAUGGACAUGAGGUAAUUCCAAAGGUUGGGACGUUGGGCAUGGUUCGGGCUAGCAUAAAUACAAGUGCAGUAGGUGUUUACAUUGCCACGGCUAAUUUUAAUUGUUAUGGAGAAUUGGUUAGAGUCAAGUACGGUUGUGGUGAUGUUGCUUGCAGAAUGUUGAAAGAGCCAAAUUCCUCCAGAAUGACUGUUAGCUUCUAUGAUGUGAACUGGUGUGUAACCCAUAUUGGACCAAAAAACUGAAAGUUUAGCAAAGGAAACAUGAGUUUCAAGUAUGGUGAUGAAAGUUGGGUUAUGCGUAUAUAACAAUUAAUAGUAUAUACAUGUUUUCUUUCCGCAUUGAAAUUCUUGUGUAUUAAAAGAACCUAAAUUUUUUAAAACAAAGGGAGCAUAGAUUUAAAAACUUUAAAAUUCAUAAACCUCCUGGUAAUUAGUUACACUCUGUAGGAAUAUGAUUAAGUUAAAAUAUACUUUAUGUUAUAAAAACUAAGUUCAUGCAUCCUAAAGUUUGACAUUUCAAAGUCUCUGAAACUUCUAGUAGUAAUAUUUAAUUAAUGGUAUAUUUUAUAUGAAAAAAAAAAUUAAUUUAUUAGUUUUACAUGGUAUAUUUUACAUUUAAUUUUUAUUUAUAAAAAUAUAUCACCUUAUUUUUCACUUUAUUAUUAUUUUUUUUAAAUCAAAUUCAUUUUUACGAAUAUAUUACCUUUAAUGGAUAAUAAAAUAUAUUUUUUCAUGUUGAUAAAUAUCCUUCAAUCUCACAUUACAAUUCGUCAUCUUUGAAGUUGAAUAAUAAUAUACUUAUUAUCAAUGUCAGAAAUACUACGAUUUGGUGAUGUGACAAGAGAUGACAAAAAGCUAAAGCGUAAGAUGGAUGAUGCUAUUGUUGCUGAUUCAGAGACAUUGAUGUCUCUGAGUUUAGGAGGAGGGAGAAGUGGAGGAUCUUCAUCCAAAUCCCUCAAGAUCCAUGAGAAGUUGAGGGAAUACCCAUGUAAGUUUUGCGAUAAGAAGUUUUCAAGUUCUCAAGCCUUGGGAGGACAUCAAGGUGCCCAUAAGCGUGAAAGAGUGCUUGCGAGAAUUGAAAAAGAAAUUCAAUUAGGAACUUUUAGACUUGGGGAUCAUCAUUUCUGUCCAUAUUCAAUUGGUCACCCAUAUCCCUUCACUAUUGCAGGGUCAUCACCUAUUUAUCAUGGACUUGGGUGGCCUCAACUUGUUGCUCAUGCAAGCUAUGGCAACCCAUUUGAGAUGAUCAAUAACUAUGAUUGGGCUACUCAAACUCCACUAAAUAAUAAUGUGGGAUUUGAAAAUCAUGACCUUAAUAAUCAGCAGCUGCAGGUUCCUUCAUUUGGUGUUCCUCUUAACAAUCAUGUCCAAGAGGGAAAUAACAAUCAUGAUGACCCAACUAGCCACCAAAUUUCAACCCCAUUCCCUGAUUUAUCACUUAAACUUUAGUAUCUUAGUUUGCUAUAUGCCUAUCUAGUCUUUUUUACUAUAAGAAAUAAUGUUAGUCACAUUCACUUUAAUACUCUAUUUUCAAUAUUCAAUCUCUUAUUUGCUGAUAUUUUAAUAAAUCAUGUAACUUUAUAUGAGAUCUAUUAUUUUUCAACUUAAAUCAGCAGAGAGGAAGUGUUGAAAAGAUUACAAUAUUGGAGUGAUGAGUUUUAUACUAGCUUACAUCUCAUGGUCUUUAAGGUUUUGUGGUUAUUUUUUAUUAUUUGUGUUAAGGUUAAUUGUGAUAAUUUUAAAUAAAAUUUUAAUUGUUGUCACGACUUCAGAUAUAUUAUGAUAAAUUAUAUGAACAAGUCUUCACCAAAAAAAAAAAAAAAUGAACAAGUUACAGUUAAUGUAUUUUCAAUUGGAUAAAAGAAAAUCUCGCACUCACACACAUAUAAUCUUAAACAUACAGAGAGACGAGAAUAAAAUAUGACUGUUUUAAUCGGUUUGCAAAACAUAUGGUGUGAGUUUCUCACUAACAUGAACUUUGUAUACUUAAGUUUGUGAUUUUAUUUAUAUGGACUAGGAAGAAAUAUUUGUUCAUGAGUUUUUUGUUGUUGUAUAAAUUAACAUUGUUUAAACUUUAAAGUGAUUUUCUCAUUAUAUAGUAUAGAUAAAUUUCUCAUUUACUUUGGGCAUGGCAGUAGAGCUCAAAAGAGACUUGCGUUGGUCAAACUUUUAGUCGUGCCAAGGAUUUGCAAGUCUCAUAAUAACAAAAUCUUCUCCGAUAAGAUUAUGUGUUUUGUGUAAGUGGUAGAUUAGUUAUCAUUUUAAAUCUACAUAAGACUUAAAUAUGUAAAUGGUCUCUGUAAAUAUUGUAAACUUGAGUUUUGGUCUCCGUAGUGAGACAAAUUUGAUGAUGUGGCACAAUUGACUAGGAAUUGGACACACAAACUCAUUAAAACCACUAUGUUAAGGACAAAACUAUCCUUGUCAUCCAAAAACCAACAAUCCCAACAUAUCUUGAAUCCCUCUAUCUUCAUCUUCUUUGUUUCCCUCUUCAUCCACCACCACUAUUAGAAUCUCUCCCUCUUUGAGACUUUCACACCCAAUUUUUACCUGUUUUUAUUAUGUGUAGAUUUUUUACCUAUGUAGAACAUACCACAUUUACAUGAUAGUAAAAAGUAGAUAAAUGGUGUCUAAACAUUAACACAAGCUAAAUUAUAUAGAAGAAUAAUAAGUGUAUAAAUUAUUCAACUACACAAAGAUGUAAUGUCAAUAAUGGCAUGUGCUUUCCAUAUUUGUCACUGCUUCACUGCAUUAUUGUUCCACAAAUCAUAAGCAGUAACUUAUCAAAGAGAAACUUAGUACACAGAAAAUAAUAUUCAUCAAACAGUAAUUUUCUUUCCCCUGAACAUGUUCCAGGUAAGAAAAAAUAAAUCUGGAAUGAGGCAAUGGUAGUAUUUGAGAUUCUAUAGUUCCAGCAUACUUCUGUAUAUUGAAACAGAAUAGAAAAUAGCUGCAUGUUUGAUGAGAUUAACAGCGAUAUGAUCCAAUAGUGUGCAAAAUAAAUCUCUGAUUCAACUCAUUGCAUAGCCAUUAUGCUUUUACUUGCAGAUCCUUGUGUGUAUAAAUCAUACUUCGAUCGCCAUCUACCACUUGGCCGUUCCCUCUCAAUACCCUGCAACAUAGCAUAUGAUUUAGUCUAAUUUUAAUUCAAGUAUUUAACCGUGAUAUAUAGAUAAAUGAAUGAAGAUAUGGUAUCGAAAUAACACAGACAUGAUUUAAUCGAUUAAACCCUUCAAUUGAUCGAUUAACAAAAGCUUCCUAAUCGAUUAACUAUUAAAAAAGUAAUCUAGAGAUUUACAAGAUAUCUUAUAUUGAUUUCUAAGCAUCUAAAGAUCUAACAAUUUGCGCACAGGACACGACCACAAGACUCGGAAAUCAUGGUGUUACAAAUAUCGAAAAAAUUGUUUGGUUGAUAUUUUAAUAUAUCCAUUGUAUUCAUUUAAUAAAAACAAAAACCAGAGACAUUGGAAAAUUCCAUACCAUCUAUUUGUUAACAAGCCCUCGACUCCUACCGGACCUCUGGCAUGAAUUCUACUUGUGCUUAUUCCAACCUGAUCAACAAAUAACAAAACUAAGAACAGUUGAGAGUACUGUGCUGCUAUUCUAAUUUAUUACACCAUGAUUCUUGAAAGUACAAUACCUCUGCACCAAGCCCAAAGCGUGCCCCAUCGCAAAACCUUGUACUUGCAUUGUGAAAUACGGCAGCACUAAAAGGAAAGAAAGAAAAAAAAUUCAAGUGUCAGCACUCAGCAACAUCUUGUUAAGAACAUUUUUCCUAUCAUGGAGUAAUUGUGUGUAUAAUAAACACAUCUUAUGUAAAAGGAAAUAAGUCCAAAUGAAACAUGAUAAGUAGUAGAUCAAAAGGAUCAGAUUAUUAACGGGUGUGUGUCUACUUGUCAAUAUCGUGUAUGUGUCUAUGUCGAGCUUCAUAGACUAUUAAAGGAUCAAACAAGACAUUAUGCGCAUACCUGUCAACUUGAUGUAAGAAAGUUUCAGCAACUUUACUAUCUUCUGUAACGAUGCAAUCAGUAUGAGAACUGCAGAAACAGGAAACAACAAAUACUUAUAAGAUAAUGAUGUCAAUAAUAAUAUAAUGACAACAAAGGUUUUCCAAGGGAACCCAAAAUUACCUUCCAUAUUCAUGUAUGUGGUCAAUCGCAGCAAAUACAUCAUCGACAAUCUCAAUUGUACAAGCCAGUGAACUAUACUCCAGAUGGAAAGAUUUUGCUUCAGAAAUUUUUAAUAAGACACUAGCUUUUGGUCCACCAUAUAGUUGAACACCUGAAAAUAGAUUAAUAUACACCAACAAUGUUAUUAUCCUAUGAUUUAUUGGGUUAAAUAUGCUUAUAUUUCCUAUAACAUUCAUAAGAUUAGUUUUAGUCCCCAUAAAGAAAUUCCGACUUCUAUUCAAAAUCUUCGCAAAUACAAACUGAAUAGAAAGAUAAGAAAUUAAGGUCAAACCUUGUUUUUGGAGUUCAGCAACAAGUUCAUUCAGUCCACCAUUUCCUGCUAGAUCUUUGUGAACAAGAAGGGUUUCCUAGGAAUAUCAUGAUACAACAUUAAAACGAGCAAUCUAAAAAUUCAAUUUAUAUACAUUAUUAAAUGAAAAUGUGCAAUGAUACACUUCAUGCAAUUUAAACUAUAUUCACCAUUGCAUUGCAGGCUGCAGGAUAAUCAGUCUUUGCAUCCUUAACAAUCUUCUUUGCCACAUUGAUAUUAGCUGCUUUGUCAAUGUAUACAUGACAUAUUCCAUCUGCAUAAUAAAGAUCACAAUUUAAUACUACGCCGGUCUCUAAUUAUAAGUGUCCUUCAAUAUAAUCUCUAUUUCAAUUUACGUACAUUUAUUAUUAUUUUUUUAAAAUUUAUCUCUUAUAUACAACUUUGUUUCCGAAGAUGGAAAGUCAUAAUUUGACACAUCUAUAUACAAAUGGAAAUGUAAUAAUAUUCGUACACAAUACAAAAUGUACGCAUUAAUUAUUAUACUACAAAUUUUUCCUAGGUUUGAUCACAAAUGGGAAAUAGGAAACUUAUAUUGUACUAUAUAUUACCAGCAUGACCGAGAACAGGAAUCUUUGUAGAAUCCUUGAUUUGAGAAACAAGCUUAUUACUGCCUCGAGGGACCACAAGAUCUAUCACGUCAUCAAGCUGUUGCAGAAUUUAGUUAGUUGAAAACCAUUUCAAAAAAAUAAUAAUAAAUAGUUUUGAAUUUUAGAUGUAUCAACCUUGAGUAGAUCAGGAAUUGCUUCCCUUGAAGUCACAAGGCCAAUAAGUUUGCCACCAACUGUAUCUGGUAUAGCUGAAGUAAUAAUCUACAACAAUGAAGAAAAAAAUAUAUGAAAUGAGUUAUUAUUAAUCAAUUAAUCAAUAUAAACAAUUACUUAUAAGCUAUUUCUAUAACAAAAGAUAAACUAAAGGCAAAUAGUUUUCAUGGAGAUCUUAUGAACAUAAGCUGAAUAGAGCUUAUGGAAAUGUCAUAAGUUGUUUUCAUAAAUUCUCUCAAACAGUCUCAUAAGUGUUUAUGCUAGUAGAUAAGGUCAAAUAAGUCAAUCCAAACAUGCUCUAAAUAAAAUCGACAAACCUUGUGUAAGACUGCAUUAGAUCUUUUGGCUUCCUUUCCUCCUUUGAGCAAUAAACCAUUUCCACUUCGAAUUGCCAAUGCAGCUAUCUAUUGAUCCAUUUCAAUAAUCAUUGUAAGAAUCAAUGUUCAACAUAUUAAACAAAUCGAAGAAUCGAAAAAGAAUAGGUAUGUUAGAACCUGAACAAGAGCAUCAGGUCGAGACUCGAAUAUAACUAGAAGUACACCCAAGGGACAUGAUAUUUUCUCCAGAACGAGUUUAUCUGCUAUCUGGACACAGAGAAGUAAUCAAAAUUAACAAAAUUGAAUGUCGAAAAGUAUCAUGCAAGAUUCAAUAACAUCAUUCAGUGUCCAAAAUUUGUUGUUAUUGAAUACUGCAAAGUCAAAUAUUAAAGAAAAAAAAUUGUUACAUUCUUUAAACAUGUAAAAAGUAGAAACCGAUGAAUAUUAGUACAUUAUAUCACAAAACAAAAUUUGUUUGUUACUUUUUAACUGAUAAAUAACACAAUUGUACAGUGGUUUUAACCUCAGUUCUCUUCAAAAUCUGACCAAUGGGUUCAUCCAUUUCUGCCAGCUUGCGAACAGACUUUACAAGACUAGCAAUCUGAAAAACACAAAUCAAGGUUAGGUAAAAACUUUCUUGUUGAAAGAGAAAACAUCAUACAACUUAAGAUUAGCUUCAAGCUAUGAGGCACACACAGGUACAAAGAUACAUAAAAUUUUUAAAAUUCACGAUAUGAUGGAGCUUGGAUACGUUAACGAAAUAAGAUAGCAAAACUUGUAUAGAUAUGUAAUACUUAUAAAGAAAGAGACAUUGAUCAUUUCUCAUUAUUAUGUUUACGAUGAUCAUUAUUAACAGAAAAAUGUCUGCGAUCAUAUAAGAAAUAAUAAAGUUGCCGCUUAUAACAAUAUAUAUUAUAGAUAUCAACAAAAACAUCUUUAGUAGAACUCAAAACAUUCAUACUAUAACAUCAUAAAAGAGAAUUAAUGAUGAUAAGAUCGUUUCAAUUUCUUCGCCUUCAAAUUUGUUUUUGUUUGCACAACAAAAACAAAAUUAUUGCAAAGAAGAUUAUCUUUCACUAUUUAGCCAAUUAAGUACUUACCUUCUCAGGUCUCAGUGUCAAACGCGAUAUCAGUGAUCUCUCAUAUCCAGCCUCCUCUGCAUCAGCAACAUCAGAAGCAUUCUCAAGCCUGAUCUCACUUUCAUUUUUCUCUAUAGCAGCAGCCACAUCCAACAAUAUUUUCUUCCUUUGUUCAGAAUUUAGAAUCUGAAACCGAAAGCACCAAGACGUGUUCAUUGUAUUAUUGGCAACAAUAUUAUAUAUAUAGUUAGUUAGUUGUUGGCGAAUAAUUUGUUAUUAGUUAGUUAUUAAACUUACUAUCUACAUAAGUGAUGUAACCCCUUGAAUUGUAAUCAUAACAAAAGUAGCUAAAGUAAUCGUCAUAUGAAUAAAUUCAUGAAAAUAAACCUUGUUUUUCACAUUCUAAAUAGGUAAAUACCUGAAGCUUCCUAGAGCUGUCGCGUGCUGCAACUGCCAUUUCAUGUGCAGUUAUUUCCUUUAUGCUGGUCCACAAGUGAGCAUCCUUAUGGAAUACAGUACCAAUUCUUUCUCCUUGAAGCACUCGCAUGAUGUUGUCAUUAGGAUAGCCACUUGAAAGGAGGUUGAAGUGAAAAACAAUGUCAGAAAAAUGAAAAUUUUAAACAUAUGGUUGUACUCGGGUAGUAAGGGCUUUUUCAAACUCAAAAUUGCAUAUCAGAAAAUUAACGAAAAAAAUGAACAUGACAGAAAUGAUCAUAUAUUCUCAUCACUUGAACCUAGGUUUUUUAUUUCUCUGCGAUCACAGCCUAGUCAUGAUUAAGAACAAGUUAGCCGUAUUUGAUUGCGAAUCUCCACAAUAUCAAGGAUUGUAAUGCGACCGCAAUUUAAAACCUUAUCCAUAACCAGAUUGAAAAUAUUUUAUCAUUUAUGCAGUUUCAUGAUCAAUAAAGGAUAAUAAUCUUUUACAAACUAGUUGACAUGAUUACAACUUUUAAUAUUCAAUUUAGUGCUGUCAAUCACGGAUUACAGGAAAUAACAGUUUGUUUAAAUUCCACUAUGCUACCGUGCUAUAGCACAGGUACAACGGCUACUUGAAAACACUUUAUACUAAAUAGCAUAUCGCAGAACAAUAAUGAUUUAUUAAAAUUCCUAUAGUGCUAUAAAACUGCUACAUCCACUAUUUGGCAACACGGAAACAAUUCAUUGAAACAAUUUCUCUUUGGAUAUGUUGUAUCGAAAAUCGAAACAAAAAAUAGUUAUUUUCAGUGUCAAUAGUCUACUUUAAACACUACAUGAUACCUGGUGAUAAUCACAGGUGUGCCUGAAUAAGCAGCACAAACAGCAGCAUUAACCUUAGCAGUCAUACCCCCUCUGCCCAAUCUUGACUUGUCUCCAAAAGUAAUUUCUGUUUGAUGUUUUUCUCUGACAUAUGUGUGAAUUAACUUCGAUUUUGGGUCAGAUGGUGGACCAUUAUAAAGGCCCUCAACAUCACUCAGUAAAACAAGAAGGUCAGCUUUGAGUUCCAAAGCCAAUAGACCAGCCAAACUAUCAUUAUCCCAGAAGAUACCGGAUGAAUCCUGCAGAAGCUUACAAUUAAAAGUAACUUCGUCAGAAAAUCAAUCAAAUAGGGGUUAAAGUAGGCCAAGCUAGGCUAGGCUUUGCAACAACCGAGCCUGAUCUACUUUAAAAAUAUAAGCUCUGAGCUUGGCUUAUUACCAAUCAUACGUCCAUUUUUAAGGCCUGGUCUGACCUUUUUGAAAGCCUGACAAGGCCUGUUGAAAAGCCUACUUCACUAUUUUCUUCAUAUUUCAAAUCAUAGGUUACUAAUCUGGUCUUUAAUAUGAGUGAAAGAAAGUUUAUGUAUUUGUCAAAAAUAUGGACCAAAUACAUAAACCUUCUUUGACCGACUUUUGCUUAUAUUUGAAACCGGAGUACUGUCUUUUACAAGGAUAAUUCAAAUAAUAUAGUUGAAGGAAAAGAAGCAUACCUCAUAUGGUGCCUUCCUAGUACUCACAGCAUCAUUUUCAUUGAAAAUGGGGAUGACCCUUAACUCUAAUAACGAGUGCACAGUGUCAGUUAGUUGUUUUCUGAAAUCUGCAUCCCGAAAAAAUCCAUCAUUCACAAGAAGUUGUGAUGAAGUCACAUCAAGCUGCAUCACGGAAAAUCACAUCAAUAAGAAGGAAUCAGUUCGAUUAAUAGAAAAAUAGUUCAUAUGUCAAAGAAAUACACACAUAUACAAGAUUCGCGACAUAUUGAAUUAGAAGCUUAAUAUUAUGUUUACCUGACUAAACAUGAUAUCAUAGAGAGCCAUGAGACUGCUCUGCCCAACAGCUGCGCAUGCUUUCCCAUCAAGUUCAUAUUGUGGAUUUUGAAGAUCAGAAAAGCUACAUAACAAGUAAAUUUAUAUCAGCCUGUUGAUAAACAGAAUCAUGAAAAAGUUCGUACUAAGAUCUUCAAAUAUUAUGCUAAUUCAUUGUUGUCAUUUACGGAUUGCAAAAUGUAGCAGUUUGUUUAAAUUCCGUUAUGCAGCAGUGCUAUAGCGCCAUUAUAUUUGCUAUUUGACAACAUUUUGUAUUAAAUAGCGUAUCAUAGAACAAUGACGAUUUGUCCAAAUUCAGCGUCAUUUUAGCGCCACUAUAUCCAAUAUUUAAAAAAACUGCAGAGCCAAUCCUAAUUAAACAAUUUCAAAGAACAGAACUACAGAAAGCGUUCAUUCUUCAAGUUUGCAAUUAAAAGAUUGAACUACUUCUUGAAACACAAUGUUUUUAAUUAAAUGUAACACAAUAUAUUC
rnacentral:lncRNA from 1 species